UCCCCUACCACGCACCCGCCUCCUCAUAGCCUUGCUUGAUAAGGUGUCAAGUCGAUCCAUGACUAAUCUUUUUUUUUUACGAAAUAGAUCUCUUGUUGCGGCAAUUAAUUGAUGCAAAACUGAUCGAGAAUGGAUUUUUUACUCUCGAGCAUAGUGCACUCCCUAUCAAGGCCGUCGGACCCUUGUGCACUGACCCUUCGAUCUGGGUGUAGCCAAAGCUGCUGACGGCAAGAAGACGGAGGUAGAACUGUUCCGUUUGUGAUUCAGAUCGAUGGCCUUAGGUAGGGUACUGUUCAUCUUUCUUUUUUUUUACUUUUCUUCUUUCCCAUCACUCUCUCCUCGCCCUGGCCAGUGUUUCCUUCCGUUUCUUCUUCCCCCUUCUUCCUCUUCCCACAUGGCUGUUCCCCCAUCGCUAUCUCCCCUCGUCAAGGCCAGCGGGGCGGUGCAGCGAGCUCCAUGUAUUGCGGGUUCCCCAUAUGAAGGCUCCAGUCCAUGCAUGUAUGGUGGCUUUCCAUAUGGCGGUCACACAUAACCUCAGGCCAUGGCGUCUUCACGCAUGUGGACGCCCCAUAUAUCUCAGGCCAUGGCAUCGGCGCUGCUCUGUGUACUUGCGUUGGUUUGGAUCGUUCUUUGCCUAUACUUCACUACCGUACAAGAACAUCUCAUGAGGGGCACAUCCAUUUGUAACACAAGAAUUGUCCGGGAGACUCUGCGCUGCUCCUCUUCUUCUACUUCCUCGAGCUGCCUCACGCAGCCGCAGCUCCCUCUAUUCUCUCUCUCGUUCACUUUGCACACAAGGAAAGAACAGAAGCGAUAUUUUUGGUGACGGACGGCCUCUCAAAGCUCGUCUCCUUCCUUUUCUCUAUUUCUGUUACCAUACUAACGGGAAUACAAUGCCUUAAAUAAGCUACGCAUAGAUGGAAACUACUCCAACUAAUCACUACCGGGUCUCAUGCCCCUAAUUGAGCAUUUGAGCCCCACAUCUUGCUUCCUGGAUUCUCUCCACAACGGAAACACAGGGCAAACUGAGUCGUUGGAGAGCAUUGCGUCAAAAAAUAAUCAAGAAGUAUCUGUACGAGAGAGAGAGCCUUCGAUCUAGAUCAGGAGGAAUAGAGAGAGAGAGUGAUGGCUCCUUCGAUUAGAUCAGAGGGACAAACAGGAUGGGGCCGAGAUGUGGGACGAAAAGGUUAGGUGUAUGGGGCUGUAGACUUUCCAUCCAUCCUAACGUCUGCCUGGAAUCUCGCCGUCUGAUACGUGGGCGCGAUGGACGGUCCGUGAUAGGAGGAGCAAGAAGCUCGGAAGCAAUCGAAACUUUUCCAAACUUGAUCAGGCCAACCCUUCUAUUUUUACUUGUACUGCUACAUUGGUUAUGAUGGCGAUGAUGGAGGCGGAAAUACGACCUCCAUGGCUCCAUCGAUCAUCUGGAUAACUUCAGUACAACAAAUUAAAAAGAGACCUACAAACCGCCCAGUUUCAACUUUGCACGUCCAAUUUCUCUAACAAUCAAUAACUUCUGACUUCUCACUCCGUCCCAUGUUGUCAAGUGACUUUUCUAUUACAUGUAUUUAGAUGUUUUUUGGUCAUAGAUACAUCCAUAUUUGGACAAAUUUGAGUUCCUUGAUAUGGGACCAGAGCAUGAGUGAUGGGGGUCUCAGCUUUUAGGUUUUCUGUCAUAUACACCUGAAUGUGACGACAACUUGAAGCCAACCAUAGGUAUGCUAUUCGAUACUUGUAUGGAAACAGUCGAGCAGUUUACAAGGCUUGUUCACAAAAUGUUGGAAUUUUAGUUCAAACUCGGCAGAAAAGGACUGUAUGGAAGCGUUUUCUUCAUGGCAAAUCAGGUUUCUAAAUAACACGCGCGCACUAAUCUCGCAGCAAACCCACUUCUUUCCACAUCACCUCGAGUCAAAUUUUAUAGUGCUUAUUACAAUUAAAAUAAAAUUUUAUAACGUCCAGCAGGUACUCAGAUUGAAAAGAAGCUUAUAAAUCAGAGGACGGCCGGCGCUAAGACUCCGGCAGGCACCAAGGUCCAUCUUCUCAGAAUAUCUCCGCGCAUCGGAACGUCUUGAAUACCUGUCCAGCAAACCUUCACCAGCAGCUCAUAGCAACCGUGAUUGCAAACCUUCUCUUCUUCAGGGUAUGAUAGCGUGACCGAGGUGCGUUCAUCUUUCCCAUUGCCAGCAAUAAAAGAAACAUUGAGCAGAAUUUCUUCAUCAUCGUCAACCGUGUGGCUGGGAACAGGGACGGCUACCAGAUUACGAGUCAAGACAAUAGCGCCAUCAUCUUCAAUUAAUAUGUGGUUCCACGUCACCUUAUUAUCAUAUUCAUAUAGAAUGAUAGGAUUUUCAAUAUUUCCGAUGGUUCGAGCCGUUACUUUGCUUUUGAAAGGAACAUCACAUGGUCCACUCAAAAUAUUAACUUUAAGAGAAGCUGCCACGGGAUUCGUAAUAGGCGAUAAUGCCAAUUCGACUAUACUCCGCCAGCUACUCAGCAGAUGAGUGAUCAUGGGUCGCCUGUCAAAGGGGACACGCCAGUGUCGUAUCACACCUUUGCUAAAAUCUUUGUCAUCACUGGUCUGAUCACCCUUGAUCUUCAAAUUGAUCUCAAAAAACAUACUGUCCGAUAUGACAAAUCCCCGGCGUGGACCUGUCAGAGUUAACAUGUUCCUCUGCACAAGGAUAUGGCAAAGAUAAUUAACGUAAAAAAAGUCUCAUAUCGAUAGUUAAACAAGCGUAAUCAAAUUCUGACAACCGAACAAAGUAUGGCUAGUUAGAUAAAUUUAACACCAAUAAUCAUACAUUUGUAACUCAUAUUCAAACACACAAAAUAAUGACUUAUGGAAACAUUGGGUCGAUCAGACCCAACCUAUCAAAGUUUCAUCACAUUCCAGUCUUAACGAGUACUCACUAGGUGCCAUAUUAUAAGGCGCAUGGUUUUCGCCCAAGUCCAGGCUUUUAAAAGCUUGACAGUAUAUGUUUAUAUAAAUAAAAUAUCAACAUCCAUUGAAUUAUGAAACAUAUAUUCAAUGGUUACUCCGUUGGUAUUGUAGAUGUCAGUUGAUAAUUUGUUCAUAUAAACUUGGUCAAAUUUUUAAAAUGUUGAUUUAGGAUAAAAACCAUAUUAUAAUAUGGAAAGGAGGGAGUAUAAAUUUUACUAGACCAUAGCUCUUUUUUGAUAAGUCGAGGUAAAUAAUUGGAAUACCAAACUAUAGCGUGACAAUUAAUUCAGGAUGCAAUCAAAUGGUAGACAUCUUUCAUCCAUGGUGAAUUUAGGGUGAGGAACUGAGGAUCACGAUAUAUUUGGAUAUUGGUAAUCUAGUGAGGAAAAUAAAACUAGGGAGGUUGAGGGAGGAACAAAAGACUAACCGAUUUGGUGAUGCACUGGGGAUCAUCCCUUUCACGACGGAACAGAUAGACACAUUUAUAGUCAACCUCAUCCCUUGCAAGCACGGUGCCAAAUACGUUGAUUGGGUAGCCCACAUCAGAUCUGAUUAUCUUCAAGGAAAUGACAUUAACCGAUGCAUCUGCCAUCUCGCACCAAUCAGAAUAAGUUUGAACUUGAAGCGGCAGACCAUGGGGGGCAUCGGCUGUAAAUUUAGUCCAGCACACAAAUCAGGAAAAAGAAACAUGAUGAAUAUCUCUGCCUACGAAAUCAAUGAGAUGGUUGCAAAGACUCACACUCUUCAUCGAGGUCGAAGAACGCUAUGUUGAAAUGGCAGAAGCAGGUGCAGACAAAAUCAUUCUGCUUUGGAUCAUAUUCAGUGAACUGUCUGCAAUGAACAAUGUGAAGACCCAGGAGCACCUUCUCCUCAGUUGUGUGCUUGGUAUCGGGCUCGAACAGCCGUGCCAUCCUCUCCUGCUUCACCACCACGUCUGUGUCCGAGUCAGACUCCGACAAAGUAUAAGACUCAUACUCAGACUCCGGCUCCGACCCAAACUCUGGCUCAGACUCCGGCUCUGACUCCGCUGGCUUUGCAAUCUUCCUCUCCCACCACAUCUCCUCUCCCGACAUCUUCCCACCGCGAGUAAGAAGAAGAAAUAUGUAGUAAUGUGAGAUUUCGUGGUAAUUCGAUGAUAUAAAAUAAAAUCGCAUUGCAUCAGAAAUUCAGAAUAGAAGAGGAGCUUGCUUGCCUUCUUCUCCGAUUUUGCUGGCGCACCCGUACUCCAGCCGCCGAUGGAAGAGGCUAGGGUUUGGCGAGUCUGCGAUCAAACUUUUCGCUUCGCUUGUUUUUUCUUCUCAAAAGGAGAACCCUGGGGGCGCUUAAUAUACCGCCCAGGCCCGAUGACGCCCUCUGGUUCCGAUUUUGACUUGAGCGCGACUCCGAGUCGGAGGAGGGGUAGUUCCUCCGAUUUUGCUUUCCGGAUCGAUGAGCCCGCGCGGCACAGGCGGCGCUGCAGUGCAGAGCGCGGGGCGGGAGUCUGAGUUAAAUGGCAGGGACUUGGCAGCGGCGCGGUGCACGGGACAACGGGGACUUGGUGCGCUGGGCGUGGGGAUCCCCAUCGGCGGGGACUUGGCACGGUGCGCGGGGCGGCGGAGGCGCAGGGCGCCGGCACAGGGUCGGACGACGCGACUGCGCGUCCCUGGCGGCUGGGAAUCGGCGUGGGGCGGUCGGCAUCGACGGACUGGGGGGGCGGUGGCGCGGGCGGACCAACAGCAACGGUUGCAGCACGAGGAGCGGCGUAGAUUGGUGAGGGGGAGGUGGCGGCGGGAUUUGAUGCCGAGGGAGAGGUGGCGACGGAUUUGACGCCGGCGAGGGGGAGGUGGCGGCGGAAGGAGGAAGGCCGAUGGGAUGUGCAGCACGCGGAGAGAAGAAGACGGCAAAAUCUGACGUGGCAGAGAGAGCAGGGGCUUCCUCGGGGUUCCCUGGAACGGGGGCUUGAGCAGGACCUCCGUAGAGUAGGUACCAAAGUAUGAACCCUGUUAAACACAGCACUACAAAAGAUGUCUCAAAUUUAUCAAAAUUUAGAUGUAUUUAGACAUUUAAUGUAUAGAUGCAUUUAAAUUUGAUCAAAAUUGAGACAUCUUUUAUUGGACGGAGGGAGUACAUUUUUUGCCUCCACCUCCUAAAAACUAAAUAGGGACUCUGUUUAAGGGCCAUGUUGAAGAUGCUCUUAGGAGCGGAUUUUUUCUUGCACUGAUCAAUUCUCUGAUCGUUAAAUUUUGUGCAUCCUGCUGUAUUUCUCUCAAAUUUGGGUUCUCUGCAUCCUACUCCCUCCGAUUCUAAAUUCUUGUCGAAAUAUUACAUGUAUCUAGACGCAUUUUAAGAAUGGAUACAUCCAUAUUUAGGCAAAUUUGAGCCAAGAAUUUAGAAUCAGAAGGAGUACUUUAUUUCUCUCGAAAACUUUUUUUCCUUUGCAUUCUAUUGGUUUUCAAUCUUGUGAAAUUUUGUCCCUUGGUACUCCCUUUCGUUCGUCCGAGUUCUCCUCGACAUAUUCCAAUGUUUUUGGUUAUUUGAUUCUUGCUGGAAUCUGAACUUGAUCAUUACAAAUUUCUCAUGUUACACGAAUUCCAGGUUAAUUAAUUUGUGACGCGUGUGGACUGGACACUGACAGUGGAGUUGAGGCCAGGGCGAAUUUCUCCACACACGCAACUAAAUUUUGCUCAUAUGCUCAAAUGCCACUCAGAAUUUGCAUAGGAUACAAAUAUGUCACUACCGUUAGUUGACCGUUAGUUGACCGUUAAGUACAAAAUGAAAAGACAAUUUGCUCCUAGAUAUUAUGUUGAUUUCCCCUUUCACAACAAAAUACUCCAUCCGUCUUAUUUUACUUGUCGUUUUAGAUUUAGUCCAAAUACCAAAGCACACGAUUAUUGCAACGGACCUGGAGAUUGAUUUUGUUGUACUUAAUCUCACGCCCUGGCCCGCACUUCACGCCGCCUCGCACGCGCUUACGGGUGGUGGCUGCAUGCAGCCCAGGCCCAGCGCAUGCACAACAAGCAAAGUAAUUAGGCAGUGCUGUAAAAAAAAGGUAAUUAGAUAGAUUCCUGCCUUCCUGAAAACCGAUAUCAGUAUUGCCCGAUACGACACUUAUUAUGGGAAAAAAUAAAAAUCUAAAACGAGAAAUAAAAUGAGAUGGAUGGAGUAUUCGUUGUAAAGAAAAAAUCAACAUAAUAUUUAGUGUCAAGAUUGUCUUUUAAUUUCUUAUUUAACGGUCAACUAGCGGCCAACUAACGGUAGUGGCAUAUUUGUACCCCACACAAAAUUUGAGUGGUAAAUUUGGAACAAAGAAAUUAUGAGUGGCAUUUGGUCAUAUGAGCAAAUUUUGAGUGGCAAAUAUGUAAUUCUCUCUUGUUUUUUUGUUCGUGGUAAACUGGAAGUUUUAUGUAAAAAUACAGGAGCGGAUUUGUUGCUACACAUCUCAAAUUCUCUGUGCUCGCAAAGCUAUGUGGUCAUAAUAAUGUGUUAAAUUCUUCAAUAAUGAUAAUACUAAGAGUAAAUUGCAGAGAAACACAUGUGUAGCGGUUUCUGUAACAAAAAACCACGAACCCAAUUUUAACUAAUACCCACAACACGAAGACUAAUGAAUAACAGAAAACCCAAAAGUGACCGCUUAAAGCUAGUUAACCUUCAUGGCCCACAUGUCAUACACAGAGGCCAGGUUUUCAGCUCACGGCUCAUUCCCGGCGGCUCGAGCCGGCUCAUUACCAGCAGCUCGUUCAUCUCUCGCUCCUCACUCCUGGCUCUUCUCCCCCAGCUCCGGUGAGUGACCCCCGCCAUCCACGGCUCAUUCCCGACAAGCUUGCAGAGUAAAUCACAGCAGCCUUCGCGGGCCCAUUCGGAUUUUGGAGAAAUUGCAAUUUAGUGUACAAAUCAUAGCGAGCAGUAAAUCACGCGGGUUGCUCUCUUCGUUUGGGCCAUGGUUCGUGUGGGGGCCUGGUAGUGCGUCUGCCUUGUCAGGAGACAGCAAGGGCGGAGGAGAAAGAUGGGGAUGAGUAAAUCCCCUUCAGAGGAUGCAACUGGGACGGCCUCCGCGGCAUGCUCCACCGCCUGCUCGCCCUCAACGCGCCGCGCCACGCCGCCAUCCUCGCCGCCUUCGCCGAGAUCUGCGCCCACCUCGCAUCGUCCUCAGCCCCCCCCCCCCACUGCCGUCGUCGGCGCAACCGCAAGCGCUGGUGUCCAAGUCCUUGCCCGCGUCCACCUCCGCCGGCGUACCAGCCGCCGGCCGCCGAGGUCGCGUCGGGUUCCUCCUGCUCCUCCUCCGGCGACCGCAGAAGUGGCGGCGGCGGCGCGCCACUGCGUUGCUCCCGCGUUCCCGAGAGAGACAGAGAGGGAGAGAGAAUGAGAGGUUCGUGUGCUCGGAGCCUCGGACAUGGACAGGUGCGGCGAGCGACGCAUCUGACGCCGCGCAGGCGUUCAUCGCGUCUGAGUCUUCUGGCUGGGAAGGCGAUAGCCUAGGUCGGCUCGGCUAGUAUCUCCGCUCAAGCCGUUUUCCUUGUACUUGAUUCAGAAAUAAGGCUCCUUUGUAUGACAUGCGGGCCACGGGCGAUUAACUUGGACAAAGCGGCCACUUUCGGGGUUUUUGUUACUCAUUAGCAUACAAUUAGUGGGUAUCAGUUAAAAACCUUUGGGUUCGUGAUUUUUUGUUACAAGAGCCGCUAGAUAUGUGUCUUUGUGCAAUUUACUCUAAUACUAAUGUGUUAAAUUUAAUUUCUUGCUUUGGUGGUUGCAUUUGUAGUGCUAGUUUACCUUGGAGUGAUGAUUGCCACAUUAAUUGCUGCCCUUUCUGGUUAACACUGUAAAAACGUCUCUUUUACUUGUUAAUGAAAAUUUAGCAUAGCAUAUACUCCCCCCAUUUAAAAUUAUACGGAGUACCAAGACAUUAUAUCUCUGUCCUAAGUCCAAUUUCCUUAAAUUUGACCAAGUUUAUUAAAAAAUGUACCAGUAACUACAAUAUCAAAUAAGUAUAUUACGAAGAUAUAUAUCAUGCUGGAUUUGAUAUAACUAACUUAGAGUUAUAUAUGUUGGUUAAUUUUUCUAUAAACUUGGUCAAACAUUAGUAAAAUUGACAUAGAACAGAGCUAGAACAUCUUAUAAUUUGGAACAGAGGUAGUAGUAAUAUUUUCCAGUGAUAUACACAAUACUGUAACAUUCAUGAUGCAAGUUAAACUAAUGGACUCAUUGUGAUUUUAUAUCUGAUAACUCAUUAUAAUAGUGCUAAAUGAUUGUUUUUUAUUAAUCUAUAUCUGAAUGGAUAUAGUAUUAAGAACGUAGAAUGUGCUGUUAAAUGAUGUUCAUAGGCCAUGUAAGAACGUAGAAUAAUUAUUUUUGAAAUUUCCAGUUCUUGUGGUCAAUUCAGGCUUUCCCUUAAUUGGCGAUAUCUUUGAACAGUAUUUUUUUCCUCAGUUUAUGAAAGAAUUUAUCCAGGAAGUAAGGAUAGAGAUUAACUCCGCAGUCUCAUCCAUAAUGUAGGAGCUAGCAUUCUCAUUGUCAUCUUGUUUCAACAGCUGGGGAAUAAAUGGAUUCGGACACGCUGCCCUUUGGACUCAUUUCAGGAGGAUAUAGCUGCACCAAGCAAUAUGAGUGGCAACAGCUAACAUUACGUCAAAGAGAACAAGCACCAAGGGACAAGCCCCAUUCUGGUGCAACAUUUAGCAACCUUGUGCAUAAACCUAGCAGGUUAUUCUUUGCAUUAGUAUAUGAAUUUAAGUUUUAGAUUCUAUGUCAUGCUCAUCAUGAUGUUUAGUUUAUCUGUCAGUUGUAGUUCUCUUGAUUGAAUCUUCUGAUGGAGUGACAUGACAACAGAGAUUUCUCAAUGAGGAUAUUACAUUUCCUGUAGUACUGUUUAUUCUUCCAGUUAAAUGGUUUAUUCCGUAAUGUAGGACUGAGAGGAGGAGUCCUUCCUUUGAUCAUGCUUGUGAUUAUGCAAAAGGAGCUGACACACAUAUUCCGUUUUUCAGGGGCAGUACUACUCAACAUAAACAUGAUCAAGAAGACCGAUAUCUGUCAAGUGGCAAGAUGUUAAUCAGAAAGGUUGCAAAUCAGAGUCUCCAGAGAAACAAUUCUUAUGGGGCUCAUAUUAGUGGACAUGAUAGAAACAACUACCGGAAAAGGUCCAGUAAUCAACCGUCUGGACAGAAAGCUAAGACUAGCCAAAACAGGUUUGGACAUCAACUGGCUGGACAGAAGGCCUAUGACCAUGACCAGCAGCCUAAAGGUUUCCACUCUCUUGGUGAGCAUGACCGACGGCCAUAUCGACAUCAUGGUGGUUCUGAUGUGAUAAGAAAUGACACUGAUCGGGAGGGAAACACUGGAACAACCAAGGAAAUAGGUCACAAUGGAACAAAAUGGAACCGCAAUAAUCCAACAAAAGUUAGAGCACAAGAGUGUGGUGAACGAAGAAGAGCUAAGAGGAAGCCAGAGCAGCCCUUCAGAGCUAAUCCAACAAAUGUUAGAGCACAAGACUGUAGAGGCAGCAGUCUUCUCAAACGUUCGCAGAACAGAACAGCCAAGCAAGGACAGAAGUUUAAUCUGGAGCUUGUGACAGAAGCAAAUCUGGGUGAAAUCGCACAGCAAAAAGAACAGAGUAAACUUACAGGCUGCCCACCGUCGACUGCUCGUCCAGAUGCCAUGAUACAAACUAGCGAGAAUAGCUGUUCUGAUACUAGCAAGGUACAAACUAGUCGGAUCAGAUGUUCCGAUAUUGGCAAGGUGGAUGGAGAUCAAGCAGCUGCUUUGCAUCCAUAUAAUAGUGUGCAUCAGAAGAUCUCUCAGCAUGAAGCAAUUAAGGAUGGGCAUCAGAAAGAUAUAGAGGAUGAUCAUCGCUCCUACCAGCCACUUGAAGCGACAUCGAAUCAACAGAUAUCUGAGCAGUCUGUUCCACGCAGAAAAAAUCCUGGUCUCGCUAGACCAGCUGACCGGACUUCACAUUUUGAGCAAGAACAGUUUGAGCAACCUGAGCCAAAUCAAUCUACAGGAGGCAAUGGCGAAAGGGAAACUGCAAAUGGUCCGGGUAUCUCUGAUUCUCAUGGUGUGCCACUGCAAGGAAGCAGUACUGUGGAAGAAAGUAACACAUCAAGCUUCACAUUCAAGCGUGGGCUUGGCAAAUUCAUAACGAACAUCUUAAACCCUCUCCAUGAACAUGGCCUCCUGUCCCCGGAGAUCCAUAAAAUUAUAUUGAGCAAAGCUGUAGAAAAGGUCACCCGCACGGUGGGCCCAAAAGUCCCUCUGACCGAAACAGAAUUCUGUAGAUUCUUAUCAAGGGAAGGUCAAGGCGUAAACACACUUGUUCAGGUGCGCGAUUCUAUUUGAAACUUUCUUCAAUCACAUGAUCAUGCAUUCUAGUCUGUGUUUUAUCCGGCUAAUGUAUGCUACAACUUCUUGUGUGCAGAGAUACUUAAAUUUAUACCUGGCAAGUGUUAAGGCAUAGUUGCCUGACAGUAUCUGACCAUGCAGCCCUGCAGAACCAUCCCAUGUAAACAUAUGAUCCUGUGAUCUGUUGGUGUUGUUUUUUUGUUGCUGUUCCUCGAUGAUCCUCAAAUCUUCUGUUUCCCGCAGGUAGCUUGUAGGAACAAACAAAUAGGUAGCGACUUUUGCGUAAGGUUCGUUCUGUAACGGUAUUGAAGUUGAAGUUGAAGUCGAACAUGUUGUACGUCUGUAACGUAAUCUAUGAUGCCCAAAACUUUGUGAUGAUGUGAUGUUCUACACAUUCAGCUUUUGUUUGCAAAAUGAUCGUAGGAUGAAGGUGCGGCGGCCGUCGAGAUUUUUUAAAACUAGUUUCCAUGUUGAUACGUUUCGAUGAUUUUUUGUUGUUGGUAGUUGGCAUAUUAUAAACACUUGGUUACCAAAGGUUACCAAGGUAUAGUUUACCGGGUUAUCAAAUUGGAUGUUCUUCCAUAGCCACGUAGGACUUGUGUUACUCGCUCUGUCCAAUAAAAGAUGUCUCAAGUUUGUUAAAAUUUGGAUGCAGAGAAUAUAAUACUUCGAUUGCCUAAUAUCAUCUCUUCUCGACAAAAGUUUCAAUACCCUCUUUGUCAACUCAACAUUACAUUACAAUACACGACGACAUAUCAGUCACUGCAUGGUGAUAUUCAUUGUUACUCUCUCCGUUUCUAAAUACUUGUCGUGGUUUUAGUACAAAUUUGCACUAAAACGUAUUUAGGAACCGAGAGACUACUAGGGAAUACUAAACUAAUGAUCGUUUGCCAGUAGAACAUGAUUUCCAUGACUCAUGGCACUGCUAAUUCCCCACGGUUACCAAGCCACAGUGCUCUUUGGACAAAGUUUGAUUACAAAUCGAACCUGGCAAAAUGAAAAUGUCUCUGAACAAGGGCAAUCUGAAGGCAAGCACAGCUGAUCUGAAUCAUGUAGAUUAUCGAGAGAGAAAUCUGAAUCAUGUAAACCAAAGACCACGAACUUUUUUUUUUGAGAAACAAAUUACAGGAACCUGCUAAUCACUUGGAAUUAUGGAAGUUUGAGGAGGACAAGGAUUCAAGCGGUCUGAUGAUAUUUUCUGUGAGUGAGAGGGUAAAGUACGUGAUGUGCAGACUAGUGACUGGUCUUAUCUUGCACAGGACUACAGGAGCAAUCCUCAGCGCCCCCCCCCCCCCAACCCCCCCAACACCCGCCGCCAGGCCGCCGGAAUGCCGAAGCCCGCGGCGACGUUGGCAUCCCUCCUCCUCCCGCAGCUACGGCACCGCCCCUUCCCGCCACCUCCGCCCCUCCUCCCCCGCGCCCUCUCCUUCUCCUCCACCUCUUCCCCGCUCGUCGCCGCCCGCCGCCGCUUCCGCUUCUCCCCCACCACGCACCUCGCCGUCACCGCCGCCGCUGUAUCCAACGUCGCCGUCGAAGCCCCAGCACCCACCGCGUAAGCUCCCCCUCGACCCCGCCCGCCCUUGCACUCUCUCCUCCGAACAGGAAGGAACAGCCGCUGUUAAUUCUGUUCUCCAAGCAGCACACGGGCGGCUGGACUGAUGGUAAUUGGUAUCUACCGUGCUGCAGGUAUCCAGCGUACGACAGGAUUCUGCCGUGCCCUGCGCAGGACGACCCUCCGAGGAUCGAGCACCUCGUGGCGCGGGAAGACGAGGCCGCCGGCGAUUUCAUCUCCAGGUCCCUCGGCCUCCCUCCUCUGUAAGCACUCACCAGUCAAAUCCUCUAUCCCUCUGCCACUCACACGCACACGUAGAGGCUCAUUUUGGUGGAACAUGAAAUGCGUAGCUCAUAGGGCCAGCGUAAGGGCGAUUUUAGUAACACUGUGGGCGUUGAAGGUACGUUGCAGACCUCAUCAAGUUCGGGGCCGUGUACUACGCCCUCGUCGCGCCGCAGCCGCCUCCGUACGCCGCUCCUGAGCAUGUUAGGAUCUUCAGAGAGGUGACCGAGCCGUCGGUCCUGCGCCGGAGGGCGUCCAUUAAGGGGAAGACCGUGAGGGAGGCGCAGAAGACUUUCAGGGUCACCGACCCCGGCCAGCACCUUGAGGCCGGCACGUAUCUGCGGGUUCAUGUGCAUCCCAAACGGUUCCCCCGGUAAGUUUAUGCAAGGUGUUAUUAUUAUCUGCUAGGAUGGUUUGCAGCAGUGAUUGCAAUGAGUUCUCCGGUGUGAACUAUUGUCAAUUUGGAGGGAGGGACCGAUUCAGUUUGGAUGCUAAUGGGUGUGGUUUAAAAAUAUUGUCAGGUGUUAUCAAAUUGACUGGAAAUCUAGGGUAAUAGCAGUCACUGAUAACUACGUUGUGCUCAAUAAGCCAGCUGCAACGUCGGUAUGUUUCUGUUCUCUUGUUUUUUUAUUGGCACCUAUUAUAAAUUUCCAAGGCCACAAAUAUGAGAAUUCAGAAUGCUGGUUUCGUUUCUGCAUGUAACUAUAUGGUUUCUAUGUAAUCCCAUUUUACUUAACUAAAAUGGUUGCUUCAUGAAAUUAAAACGUGACUACAUGAAAGUGCAUCCAUACCACUGAUGUAAGAGAAUACAGUACAAGCACGAGACCAGGGUUAUUCAUGAAGCAGGAUUUUUAGAUUCAGGUCUUGGAGCUGGUUGUUUGAUAAAGUGCACUAAGGGUCCAAAGUUCAUACUAACAUCCGAUGAUAAUUAUGUGUAGGUAGGAGGAGCAACUGAUAACAUUGAGGAAUCUUGUGUGGUUUUUACUUCGCGUGCAUUAGGAGUAGACAGUCCUUUAAUGACAACUCAUCAAAUUGACAACUGUUCUGAAGGCUGGUUUGUUUUUUACUACCCUACUUCUAUAAAACCCGUACUGUGGUAUGCAAUUAACUGACCCCAUCUUUUUCCACUUAAUUUUAAACUUUGCAGCGUGGUGUUGUCUAAAACCAAGGAGUUCUGCUCAGUUUUCCAUGGAUUGAUAAGGGUAAGUUACUUUAUUGCUGAAGGUAAUGUACUGUUGCACUGUGAGUCUCUAGCGAGAAAGUAAACAUUUCCUUCUGUAACAGGAAAAACAGGUUAAGAAACUUUAUCUCGCGCUUACAACAAAACCUGUGUCUCCAGGAAUAAUUACACAUUACAUGCGUCCUCUUAAUCGUGCUCCUAGACUAGUUUCAGAAGGUAAUCCCUGAAUUUCAGUCUGUUGCUUCCAUUAUGGUUGAGUGCCAAAGGUGUAGCUUCAGUCCUAGUAUACAAGUUUAUAGGUAGCAUUUUCCGAAACAUAUCAGAGUCUGAGUAAAAUAUCUGACUAUACAUAUAUGCUAUCAUGCAGAACUAGUAAGUUAGGAUCAUUCAUUAUCUAUUCAUGAAAGAUCAAUCAGUGGUUUACAUAUAACUCAUGUAUUGUACUUGUACGCCAGAUGUUGUGUGUGGCCUCAUCACUCAUUAGGUUGUGUCAUCACUGAUUGCAUGUCAAAGAAUUAUGAAUAUUGAAGUCCUUGACCGGGCAAAAGGAAUACACUGCUUACAUUUUGGCCUGACUGGUAGCAUUUAAAGUUCUGAACUAGCCUAUGGAUUGGUGUAAUGAUGUCUGGACCUUGGAAGUUUAUUCCAUGCAUGCGUAGAUAAUCGGAUGUCCUUAUAUUAGCAGAUUAAUGUUUUUGUUAUACUUUGUCAGAUCAUAUUGGAGGAUGGCAUCUUUGUCAAAUGGAGAUAUUAGACUGUACGAAAGUUCCAUGGCCAAAACCUUUGAUCACAAAGGUCCACAACGUGGACAACUGUGGUUGGCCCAGACAGGAAGCUGCCUAUGAAUGUAAAAUCAAUCUCAUGACAGGGAAAACUCAUCAGGUAUUGUAUAUUUUUUGAACAAAUUGUUUGUGUAUUUAAGGUUCAUCAUUCAUCCCUGUGAUGCUAUCAAUUCCUUUUGUAUGGAAGACACCAUUGAAGAUUUGAUCCUCCCCGCCCCCUAACGGUAGUCCAAGAGAAUCAGAAGUAACUGGCUGGUGGCUAGGAAUAGGAGACUCUGAUGUAAAUUGUAAAUCAAAAAUUUUCCAUUUAUGUUUUUGCAUAUCUAUUUUAUUCAGAACAUUAGCAUGGAUCAUGUGGUAUAGUAGUUUCAUGGAUUUAACAAUGGUUCAUUUAAUUAAUCUUAAUGGCAUACCAUGCUCUGAUACUUCUCAUGUUCCAAACUGGUAUCAAAAGCUCCCUCCCUUUCAUUCUUGAUGCGUCGAUACAGAGUGCCGAUGUGAGUUUAAAUAGAAGAGUGCCGGUGUGAUUGUGUGAAUACUGAGUACAAGAUCAUUCUUAAGCUAAAUCUGCAGUUGUCUUCUUGUGUUGCAUCGAGGUCCAGCAUUGCUUGUUUCUGAAAUUAAAUUAAAUUAACUGUCAAUGUGCACUUGUUUUGUCCAGUGGUACAAUCUGCCCCAAUAGUGUCUAAUCUGUAGAUGACAUGUUAUGCAGAUAAGAGCACAACUUGCUGCUAUAGGCGCUCCAAUUAUAGGUGAUUCUGCAUACAUGACUGGAGCAAUCGCAGCAAUGGCUAACCCAAGCAUAAACCCAUACGGCAGGGAGAGCUUGAAUUACAACAGUGAAGAGGAAAAGGCUGCUGCUGUUGAAGCCUGGGUUGCUUGCCAUGGCAAGGAACCGAAGUCCGUGAUUGGUCUGCAAGCAUCUGAGAUCUCAUGGGAUCACGAAGGCGAGCACCACUAUUACAAGGCAGGGGUCCCUUGGUGGCGGCAAGAUUCAGUGGAGUCAGACCUGGUCUGAACUGUGACAGCCAUACAAACGAGAAUUCCAGCUCCGGAGCACUGUCCCCCGAAACUGAAGUGACCGGUGCGAGUACCCUCAUCUGGGGGAGAGGGGAUAUCUUACUUGUCUGACAAAGAGAAGCAUGGCUGAUACACCAACACCGAUUUUGGGCCGGAACGCCUCGCCGACCGUCAGCACAAAUCUAACACGCCGAAGGUAUUCAGAUAGAAUGUCUGAUGCUGGACCUGUAACUGUUGUAAUCGGGGCAGAGUUGCUCUGCCAAUUCAAUUUUACCAGGGUUUACCUGGUUGCUGUAGUUUCUAAGAUUUCACCUGUCUGUGUACCUCGUACUAAACUGUCCCUGGUCCUUGUGUACUCUGCGUCGAGGUUGAAAGGAAAUUUGGUCCCCGUACAGAACUUUUGAGCGGAAGCGCUGGCGUGGCCCAUGCUAGAUUUGGGCUGCCCUUUCCUGAUCCAGUGAGGCCUAGAAAGAAGUGAAGGCCUUUUUGUUCCGUUUAUCGGUUGGUUGCUGUUUGAUCCUACACGCAACGCGGAGACCUACUCCAGCGGGAAACCACUCUAGAAGAGAGAUGUUUCACGUGCGUUCGUAGACGGCACUCGGGAGAAUGCUCCGGGGCCGGACCCACGCUCUAGACUGUGUUGACAGGGACCGUAGCAGCAUGAGAACAUGUUGUGAGCUUUCUUCUUACAAAAAGAAAAGAAAAAGGGGAGGGGUGAUGAUCUUUCUUUUCCUUUUGAAUGUUUAGUCCUUGCAAGCUGUACUUUUAUUUUUGAACCACAAAAUUUCACCAGCCCCACGGAAUCAGCUCGUGCGCCACAUGUGCAACAUAAGUAAAUUAGUUGGAACUCAAGGUUUAGAUGCUUCUCUGGUCAAUUUUGAAGUUUUCCUUUAGCUUGCCAAUUUUGAAGUUCCAGAACAAAGAUGAGCAUCGACAUGAGCAUACAUGGAAAGUGGGAUGCGCAACUCAUUUUCUAUUUAUGGAACAAAAAUGUGUUCGUUUCGUACAUGAAUGUUUUGUUUUUGGAAGAAAUGUACAUGAAUGUAUAUUUGGCAUUCUACUUUGGAGGGCGUCGCCAGCCUUGGAGCUGCUAGUGUUUGCUAAAUUUUGGCGAGCACUGCUAUGCGUACGAUCAUUUUCUGUACAGCACGACGAUUCGAUCCAACCAUCCAUGCACUAACACACUGCAGCCCAUCCACUAGAUUAACCAUCGUACAAAGAUCGUACGAGUAGGUGUCGUACGCACAGUAGUUUCGAAUUUUGGCAUGUGCACAUAAUGACAUAAAGAUGUAUAGGUUUGUUUUUGUCAUGUCAACCUAUGUUCUUUCUGUGUCAAAUUCCUCCUCCUUUUCCAACCGAGCUCUAUCAAUCAUGGUUGAAUUUGUCUCAUUUGUUGGUGAUCAUGUGUUGGUACUUUGAGAAUAUAAGCCGACCUGGAGGCUUUCAAAAGAAAAGAAAAAGGUGUUAACAAAAAAAAAACUCGGAGCAGACAAUGAAACAUGUACUGAUGUCAUGUUUUAGAUGCUGUUUUUUUUAUCCUCGUCAUCUUGGGCAAAUCCACAGAAAUCGAGUGUCUCCCAAACCCGUGUUCUUUCUGAAUCAAAAUUUAGACUACUCGAUACCGCCAACAAAAACACCCUUACAUAAUGAUCUUAACUUGGUGGAUGAUUUAAGACUAAGAGCAUGAGAUUUGUGUUAUAUUUGUGGACCAUCGACCUCUAAUAUAAAAAUCACGACUAGCGUGUACGUAAUCCACACAAUCCCAUCCAAUCAUGCGCUUAAAUAUAACACAAUUCACCUAAUGACAUGCAUAGCAUAUCACAAGAUUCGCAACUAAUUUGGAAAGCAUGUAUUUAGCUAUUCAAAAACCUCUAGUUAACCUAAUAUUUGGAAUUCAUCGUCCACAAAUUCGGAAAGCCUCCAAUCAGUUAUUUCGAAAUUGACAGUUAAUCUGAAUAAUCAAGUAAUUUAUAAUUAUUCAGAUUAUUUGGAUAGUCUCCCGCACCAGAAUUUUGUAUGCACUAGUUUUCUAGUUUAAACACGUAUGAGGCACUGCAAUAUACAAGCUCACCGGCUCACCCACAUCCACUCUACAACCAAAUCACGUAACUCCUGUCAUCCGCAAAACUUUGAUCAACAUUUGGACAGCUUGUAUGAGAUUAUGCAAAACUUUGACCAACAUUUGGACUACUAGCAUAAGAUUACGUUGACACUAAAACAAUUUGUCUAGUUGUUGGUUCAGAAGUUUGACUUUUUUCCUACACGCGUCCUACAUUUUCGGAUCAGAAAGGCAAUUUGUUAUGUUUUCCACUUCACGUAUAAGACCAUCUCCCACAAUCCAGCCAAAAGGUUACUAAAAGCAUACCACGUAGGCAUUUAGAUGACGUUGUGUAGAAAAUGUGUACCGAGAGAUGGUAACCGUUAUCGUGCGGAGAAACAACUUUCGCGUGUACCAAGAACUUAGCAUAGCUGUUUAUCCUUUUUGAGACACAGUUGUUAUUAAGACCUUAUCUCACGGUCUCCAUCCUCGCAGACUUGCAACUCUUCGUAACAAUUUAUUGAAAAUGUUGUUGUCGAUAAAUUGAGAUAUUCUCUGUCAUCUAAGCAACCAAGAAGUACUCCACUAUCCUAGCACUACCUCCGAUCCAAUAAAUGCCGAAGUUUUGAAACCUCUUGUCAGGGAAUGUCCUGCGUGAUUCGUACCUUUUCCCUUUCUCACAGCAAACACCUUCAUUGAUGCUACAAUUUUCCGUCGUAGGCCUUAGAUUUGCCACAUCCCCAAUUGGCAUGCAUCAUCGAAGCUACAUCCAACCUCUCCUAUCUCAUCAUUCUACUGUUUCCUUCUACGAAAUAUGUCCUUCCUUUUCAAAUCCCAACAGUUUCUGCGACAUGGCCUUAACCUGGUGGAUAGAAUUUCUUUUGAGGCAUAACCUUGUGGAUAGAUAGAUGAUGACAAGUUUGGGACUAAAAGGACCAUUGAACUAACACAGGCGUACCCCACACGCGGCGCCCUACGGCCUAGCAAAACAAAACUCCCUCCAUGGGCCAUCGUAGCGUGGUGGACACACAGAACGCCGUGAACCGCCCGCACAGACACAAGCACCCUGCUGUCUCUGACAAGCAGGCCCGUUCCUUCUGCCACACGACUCGCUGCCAACAUGGCCCCACCCGGUGAGAGGGGCGAGUCCCGGGAACAAAAACACAGCCAGGGGACGAGUCCCCGAAACAAAAACACAAACGCUCCCAGGAAAAAAACUUAUCUGCCCUCUAAUCUGCCUUACCAUACCCUUCUCUCGAGAGAUAACCACCCCCCCCCUCUCUUUCUCUCUCUCUCUCUCCCCGCGCCGCCGCCGCCCCCCGCCGCCGCGCGGUACCCCGCCUCGACGCACGCAGCUCUCCGGCGAUCGCCGCCGCCGCCCCCGAUCCGUCCCCUCUCGGAAAACCCGCGGAAAAGUGCCCCGGAAUCCGCUGGGCCCGUGUUUUUAAGGCCCGAAUAAUAAAUCCCCGCACCGCGGGUGGCUUCCGCUGCUCCCCCGCCCCGCGACGCUCGCGGCCGCCGGCGCCGGCGAUCGCGUCAGUGGAUAGGCGUGCGUGCGCGCCCCCCCACGCCGGGCCCACCCAGUCCUCGCGGUCCAAACCUUGCCCCCACCCCCUGUCGGGACGACCCGGCGCGCUCGACAGCCUCCUCCUCCUUCCUCCUCGCCUGCCCGACGCGGCACGAGGUGCGUCUCCUCGCUGCUGCCUUUUUUUUCACGGGUUUUAUAGGGGAACUUGCAGAGUUACUUGGUUCUAGGGCGUCGGGCGCCCCGGCUCCAGCGGCGCGGGCCCGAUCCGCGCCGCGGGUGGCUCGAUCUGGCCGCCGCCGGCGCCGAUCUGUCGGGCGGCGAGCGAAUCGGUCGGGAUUUAGGGUUUCGAAAUCCAAUUCGAAUUUCGCCCGCUCGAGUCUGCUCUGCUCGGAGCAGCCGUUGCUCUGCUCCCACUGCUCGAUUUUGGGUUGAGUUGGGCCAUCGCUAUUCCUCCCCCUCGAGAGUUUGAUUCAUUUCGUGUUUGUAAAACGACCCGACCAUUGCAAAAUCAUAAGAAAACAAUAGCAUUGAGUGGGUGGGGCAUUACAUGUUGGCCCGGAGCUACUCGAGUGAUGUUCUAAACUGGCUUCGUUUGAUAAACUGCAGGGAGCCAUAGACUGCUGACGCUCUCAGAGUAUCUUCUUCAUGUGCUGUCGUAAGCUGUGAUGGCAUUCUUCAGCAAUUCCGGGAGCAGGGCUGAUUCAGGAGGGUACAACUUGAACGAGAAGGCUGAAGAUGAAAGUGCAUACGAGUCUGUUGGGGAUAGGGACGUUGACCUGAACUCUAGCCAGUGGAACUUGAAUGAGAAGGCCGAAGAUGGGUACCACAGUGAGGAGGAGCAAUGCGAAGCUGUCCAGCCUGGUCCGAUUUCUUCUGAGAAUAAAUCAGGGCAGAAUGCCCGGAGAGUAGGUGGUCCAUCUGGCCCAUGGGGUACAAACUUUUUGAAGGAUUGCAGACCCGCACAGUCGGUUAAGGAAGACCCGUCAAAUAGUGAUAGGGGAAUGGAAGACGGGUCUGUAGCUAGCUCACAUGAUGACAUGGAUGGCAGUGGAGACGAAGGUGAGCUAAACAGAGGGCACGGGGAAGUGCCCGCCGAAGAAAUGCUUUCCGAUGACUAUUAUGAGCAGGACGGAGAGGACCAGAGUGAUUCGUUGCAUCGUGGUGGGAUGAGCCACCCAAGCUGUUCCAGUUCCGGGGUAGCAGCAAAAGCUGUCCCCUUGAGACAAAAGAAGAAAUCGACAAAAUACAAUGCUUAUGAUGACGACAACGAAGAUGCGUAUAAUGAUGAUAACGACGAUGAUGAUGACGCAGAUGGUAUGUUUUAUGUCUGGAGCCUUGUGCUCAGCAAAAUUAAUCUGUUGCUGUUGGGGCAUUGUUCCAUUUACAGAAGAUCCAGCUCACCGUUGAUUGCCAAUUUGUUUUCUUUCCUUAUUUGCAGAAGAUGAUCCAGAUGAUGUGGAUUUUGAGCCAGACAGUGAAACCGACAAGGCAGCUGUUAAGGUCAGUUGCAACAUAAAUUCUCAGUUUCACAUGAAGUGUAUCAUUUUAUUAUCUUGUCUAUGCAUUAAGUUACAUCUUCAUGUUAUUAUUUAGGCUAGCUGGUGCGGUGAAGUGUUUGUCACUGACUGAUGUGUCUUUUAGUUUUACUUGAUGCUACUUACUACUCAGUUUUUUAGUUCAUACUUAUUUUAAUUGAAGCACGAUGAAAGCAAGUGCCCAAGCUGAUCUAACUUGCACAAAAUUGAUUAGCACUUCAAAGAAUGACUAAAGAAAAGUUCACCGAAUUAUAACUUGAAGCAUCAGAUAAGCAAUCAAUGAUAAACUCUGCAGAAGGGCAUUGUGCAUAACUAUAGUAAUGUUCAAACAAGGAUUGAUGUAAAUGGAUCUAACCUUACAAGAAGAAUACUUUUAUCAUUCAAAAUUGUAAAGAAGGUAAUAUUAAAUAACAAUUGCCCCUGUCACCUUUAUUAAUGCAUUUAUAAACUUUUAACCAAAUCCUUGUAUUGUUAAAUUCAAUUUAUUUCCCUAGUUGAAUAUAAGGUUGCGUCACAUGCACUUCACAUUUUCUUGGGUGACAUUAUGGUUAAUAGCACAGCAUAUUUGGGCUAUAUCAGCAUUUUGCUUGUUUGCCUAUAUUAUUCAGGCUGACUCAAACUGGGGGACUCAAAUUUCAGGAUAAGCUUGUGGACAGUGAGAACUCUGCUGAAGAAGAUGAUGAUGAGCUUGAGCUCUCCGAUGAUGAUGAUGAAGAUGAAGAUGAUUUUAUUGAGAAUAGAAGGCAAUCUAAACGACUUAAGGUCGGGGGAAUUAAAGCAUCACAGCGAAGAAAGCCUCCCAUGCAGCCUCUACGCAAACGAGGGGCAUCUUUCACAGAUGAAGAAUAUUCUUCAGGAAAAGAUUCGGAUGUACCUAAUGAUGCUGAUUUCAGUCGCCGACCAAAAAAACCUGAUAGGCUGCAUCAGAAAACUGUGUUCCGUAAUAAUGUUUUAUCAAAUGUCAGUUCCAAUAAUGAGUCUCGGACUUCUGGAAGGAGGAGGACGCAGAAGAAUAUCUCAUAUGCAGAAAGUGAAGACAGUGAUGAUAGUGAGGAGAAGUCAACUAAACAACAAAAGGUGAGAGUUUGAUAUGGAUUAUGCAAGAAAUUGCUUAUGUCAUUGGAUGAUUUUCUAUUACUAUUUUUUAUCUGCCGUGGUAGUUGGACACUAAAAUUCCACUCGCUUAGUUGCAACAGAAAAUUAUUCAUAUAUUAUUUCCUUUCAUUUUUUCAUUUUUUGUGCUUACGUUAUGGUUGCCCUACUACAGCUUGAAGUUUCAUGGCCUAACUGUCUAUAAAUCUAUUACAUACGUGCUUUGUGCAUCCUCUUAUAAAUUUUGAUUACAAACCUCUUACAAAUUGUCAAUAUGUCUAGCUCUUGAAGGAGGACCAAGAUGAGGAAGAUGGAGAAACUAUUGAAAGGAUCAUUUGGUAUCAACCAAAGGGCAUUGCUGAGGAUGCCCUGAGGAAUGACCAAUCAACUCAACCUACUGUGAUGAGCAUGGCAUCAGAUUUUGAUGAACACUGGGAUGACGUAGAGUUUUAUAUAAAAUGGAAAGGCCAGUCUUACUUACAUUGUCAGUGGAAGACGUUAUCUGAGCUCCGUAGUGUAAGAGCUUACCUGGAUAUCUCAUUUUUACAAGUCCUGUUUGUAAUUUUUGCUGGUUGCACUUUAUCCCUUAUAGCUCUCUAGAUCUGUGUUCACAUUACCUUCCAAAUGGCAGGUUAGUGGAUUUAAGAAGGUUCUAAAUUACAUGAAAAGAGUGACAGAGGAACAGAGGUACAAGAGGUCACUAUCACGCGAAGAGGUAAACACAAAUCUAUUUGCUUUUGCAUUUUAUACGGUGCAACUCUUUGACCUGAAGGAAAACAUGGUAACUGUUUGUGUUAUCUCUUAUCCAGAGCAUGAAUAACAUAAGCUAAACUGCAAACGAAAUGUGUGUGUAUGCUUGCAAAGAAGAUACUUAUUUUAUUCAUGAUAUGUAAACUAAUAGUUUGUAUAGUAAUUCCUGUAUGACAUGCCAUCUGACUCUAUAUUUGGUAAACAUACUGAGUUUACAUUCUGCACACUGCACUGUUCAUAAAUGACUAUGAAGUGUCUAAAAUUGCUUGUUGUAACACGUUAACCAGUCUUAAUAUGAUGUUUUGCGCUUUGAUACUUUUGUUCCCAUCAGAUUGAGGCCUGCUGCUAAUAUGUUCAUCUUUUAGGUCGAGGUGCAUGAUGUGGGCAAGGAAAUGGAGUUAGAUCUUAUUAAGCAAUAUAGCCAGGUUUCACAUCAAGUCCAACUUAUUACGGUACAGUUUUUAUUGUUGUAUUUGUAUCGUAUCUUAAGUAUCAAUCUUCAGGUUGAACGGGUAUUUGCUGAUAGGGCAAGCAAAGUGGAUGGUGAUGGUCUAGUACCUGAAUAUUUAGUAAAAUGGCAAGGUCUUCCUUAUGCAGAAUCAACCUGGUAAUUUUCAUGACAUGGUUCUGGCGUCCAUUUUUAAGGCUAUGAUAAUGCUUUGCAUUGAUUGAAAUGAGUGAAUAUGUUAAAUGUGACGUGCCAUCCAUAUGCAACUUGUUUUGUUGAUGCCGUGUGCAUUCUAUUUCUGUUGUAUGAGGGCGCUGUUGUUUUUGAUUAAUAUUCAUUUGUGUUGUCCACAUGCUUGUGGUAUUGCAGGGAAAAAGAUACCGAUAUUGAAUUUGCUCAAGAAGCAAUAGAUGAAUACAAGGUAGACACUGUAUCCAAUCAAUAUGAGAUCACAUAGACUCUGUUGUUGUGUGGUGUAUAGAUGCAUACGAUUGUAUGUUAAUUGGGUUUACACCAAACGACAGGCACGCGAAGUUGCCACAGCUGUACUGGGGAAAACGGUCGAUUUCCAAAGGAAGAAAAGUAAAGGUAAAUUUUCCUGUACAAUUAUGCUUGCUUGCUUGCUGAGCUUUGGUCAUCUUCUUGGUUUUGAGGACAAGUGUCUUUCCUGUAGAACUGUGUAUCCCCCUUGUCGGCCUAGACAACUUAAAUAAGUUUAGAGGUCUAUCUUCUCUGUGGAAUGAUAUUUUCUCCUUUUGAUCUGGCAAACAUAAACUGUCUCUACUCCUUAGCUUGCCCACCUUGUCCAAUCGAAGUUGCUGAAUGUUUGAUGGUUACCGUGAAUACCAUCAUGUGAUGCUAUCUUUUUAGGAGUUCCAUUUUUGUCGACAUCUGAAGCACCACCACGAAUGAUCAUAGUUCGAAUGGAGUUUAAUUAGGCAAAUUGAUGAUCUGGUCUUGAGUUCUGUUUCUUGCAUCACCGGAACAAUAUUCGUCUGUUCAAUCUAACAUUAGGUUAUGGUACUCAGCUAGUUUGCGGAGGCUUGAUGAUCAACCAGAAUGGCUAAAAGGAGGUAAACUUCGUGAUUAUCAGCUUGAAGGCCUAAACUUUCUCGUUAACGGGUAUGCAAGAUCUAUAGAUGUGCAUAACAUAAGCAUCUUGCCUGCCAGUUUAUGCUCAUUGAUGAUUUGUAAAACAGGUGGAGAAAUGACACCAAUGUUAUUCUUGCUGAUGAGAUGGGUCUGGGAAAAACGAUUCAGUCUGUUUCCAUGCUUGGCUUCCUCCAUGUAAGUUUCUUUUCACACUGUUUUUGUUUAUGAGGUUUCUUGUAUUAACAUACUUGGUAUAUCUUGCAGAAUGCUCAAGAAAUUAAUGGUCCAUUUCUCGUCGUCGUGCCACUCUCAACAUUGUCGAAUUGGGCAAAAGAGUUCAGGAAGUGGCUGCCAGACAUGAAUGUUGUUGUUUAUGUGGGAAAUCGUGCCAGCAGAGAGGUAAACUUAGUAAAUAACUUAAUACACCUGGUUUGCUUCCAUUGAAGCUCAUAUUCAACCUAGACACCAUUUUUUAUUUCUGGAAACACAUUUUAUUUAGUGAUACACUAUGUUUGUAGUUGAUAUUUGCAAUUUAUUCCAUUAUUGAAUCUGUGGUUGUUAUCAUGUCCUUCCAACUCCUAUAUUUAAAGUUUGAUACGAAUUUACUGGUGUUUGCUUGAGUAUGCAUUUAUGCAUUAUGUAGUGCUGUCGGUUGUUCCACUUCGAAGACAUUGAGCUUUGCUUUUCUGCUAGUUUAUUUCAGAACUUUGGUUUUAUUUUUGGAGUACAUAACUAUCAAUUUAUAUAAUGUAGCUUCAUGUACAUAAGUGCAUGACGGCUUAGUCCCUGGUGCCCAGCCUGCUGACCAUUGCCAAAUUGCAGCAGCAAAAGGCCUACUGCCUAAACCACAACUAGUUAUAUCCAUGUCGUGAUUGACAAUUUUCCAAUACAUUUCCGGCAGAUGUGCCAGCAGCAUGAGUUUUUCACAAACAAGAAGGGUGGAAGGCAUGUAAAAUUCCAUACGUUAAUUACUACCUAUGAGGUGAUACUUAAGGACAAAGCCGUUCUUUCCAAGAUCAAGUGGAACUACCUUAUGGUUGAUGAAGCUCACCGGUUGAAGAACAGUGAAGCAUCGCUGUAUAUUGCACUUUUGGUAUGAUGGACAUAUUCUCUUAAACUAAGCAUAAGAGCCUUGAUAUUGGGCAACUACUGCAAAACGUUAACACUAUUCGUGCCCCCUCAGGAAUUCAGCACCAAGAAUAAGCUGCUAAUAACUGGGACCCCUUUGCAGAAUAGUGUUGAAGAGCUUUGGUAUGCCUUAUUUUCAUGUGGAUAUGUGCUAGGCAAAUUUUAUACAUAUGUACUGUUCAUAUGUACUCGUAACUUGAUCAUGCAAUAUGUGAGUAUGUUGCUAGCCGCUAUAUUAUGUUCUCCCAUUGUUGUUGAGUUGUUGCUUUUUGUAGGGCUCUACUUCAUUUUCUUGAUCCAGUUAAAUUCAACAGCAAAGAUACUUUUGUUGAGAGAUACAAAAAUUUGAGUUCGUUCAAUGAAACUGAGGUAUUGCGAAUGAUGGCUUUGUCUUCACAAUUAUCCUAAUAUCCUAUGCUGUUUGGUGAUCAUUAGUUGGACAUCCAUAACUCCCUUUGCUUGUUUUUUUUAUAGCUUGCAAAUCUUCACAAGGAAUUGAGGCCCCAUAUUUUAAGACGAGUUAUAAAAGAUGUCGAGAAGUCUUUACCUCCAAAAAUCGAACGAAUUCUUCGUAUCGAAAUGUCUCCUCUACAGAAACAGUAAGCUAUACUUUGUGUGAACUUAAUUUCAACAAUGCAUUUUAUUACUCCUCGAAACAAACCUUUAUUUAUAUUUUGCUAGGUACUACAAGUGGAUUCUAGAGCGAAAUUUUCAGAAUCUGAAUAAAGGAGUUCGUGGCAAUCAGGUAGUAUUACAUCUUGUGCUAACUCACUGAAUCAGGGUAUAUUUAUAUGUUCUAUUCAUCCAUGUGCCUCUAAAAAAUGUGCUGUUAAAAAUAUGGGCUUAUUUUGAUUUUUUUUCUGUUGAUGUUUUGUCAUUUUUCUGUUAACUACUGCCACUUCUCUUGUCUAGAAUCUGAAUUAAUGGAGUUCUUCAGUAUGUUAUUUUAAGGUUUCAACUGACUGUCGUGAAACAUCUUGUAUUUUAGAAAUGAGAAACAGUGCAUAAAUUGUGGUUUUGUUUAUGAGUCUUGUAUUUUUGUUAUGAGUCUCGGACCUUUGUUUCUUAUUCUGUUCUUGUUUUGUCUGGUUGACUAUAUUAUUUUAUGUGCAGGUCUCACUCUUGAAUGUCGUCGUCGAGUUAAAAAAGUGCUGCAACCAUCCAUUCUUGUUUGAAAGUGCUGAUCAUGGUUAUGGCGGAGAUAGCAUUGGUGAUCGCAAUAAAGUUGAACGCAUUGUUAUGAGUAGUGGGAAGUUAGUUUUGUUGGACAAGCUGCUAGUAAGACUGCGGGAGACCAAUCAUCGUGUGCUUAUAUUCUCUCAGGUUUGCUUUCUCCUUGAUGUCAUUGUGCAGUUUUACUUAUUGGAGCUAUUAUUUGUUUUGGAUAUAUUGUUACUGUUUGAACCAUGAAUUGUUUUAACUACAUAGCACCUGCCGACAAACCUCUCUGUAUUUUUUUUUGCUGAGAAUGAUACUUUUACAUAUUUUUCAUAGUUGUAACAGAUUUGUUGAGCGGAUUUCUUUUAUUGGGGGCAUUGAUAUGUUAGCGUUAGGAGACCAUGUUCCUCUCUGUGCUUCAUAUGAUUUUGUAUAUUUGACUGCUGAAUUCUGACCCUUGCAGAUGGUUAGGAUGCUGGACAUCCUGUCUGAGUACCUGUCCCUUCGAGGAUUCCAGUUUCAGAGGCUUGAUGGUAGUACAAGAGCGGAUCUUCGUCAUCAAGCCAUGGAGCAUUUUAAUGCGCCUGGAAGUGAUGAUUUUUGUUUUCUUCUUUCUACACGCGCUGGUGGACUUGGUAUUAAUCUUGCAACAGCAGAUACAGUGAUAAUUUUUGAUUCGGAUUGGAAUCCUCAAAAUGAUCUACAGGUCCUCUCAUCUUUCUGUGAUUAUGAUGCGAUGGGAUUCUUUAUUGAGUAAACAUUUCUGAUCUUGUUUGCUCCAUGAUGUCAUAACAGGCGAUGAGUAGGGCACAUAGGAUUGGGCAACAAGAAACUGUUAACAUCUAUCGGUUUGUCACAUGCAAAAGUGUUGAAGAGGAUAUAUUGGAACGGGCAAAGAAGAAAAUGGUGCUGACACUGAAUUGUUCUAUAUGAUGUUUUAAAUGAAAAUGAAUGAGAUAUGUUUAACAUAAUUUUUUUAUUACAGGUUCUUGAUCACCUAGUGAUUCAGAAGCUCAAUGCUGAGGGGCGACUUGAGAAGAAAGAAACCAAAAAGGGCGCCUCCAUGUUUGAUAAGGUAGUCUUUUGCUUAAUCUGACUAGUUUUCUUCGGUUAAUUUGGAUGGUAACUUAUUUGGUAUAUAGUGGUUCAGAAAUUGCUUGACUGGUUUUACAAGAUACAGUAUUGACUGGUUUAGAAGAUACAUAUGGAUGCACUAUAUCCAUCUCUGAUUUAAUGCAUUACAGUGACUAUAAAACCACAAGUAACUUGUCUUCUUUGCGAUAUAGCUUGUAAUCUCGCUGCAGUUUUGUCAAUGUUAUCACCGUACACUCCCCGUGAAAAAAAAAAGGAUAUACCACCUGCAAUUAAAAUUCAGAGGAAGGCAUAUUUAACCCUAAACUGUGUCUCUCACUAGUUACUCUUUUGUUUUUCAUUCCUUUAUUUUGCGCCUCUAAUGAAAGCUAUACCAUUUGGCAGAAUGAACUUUCAGCCAUACUGAGGUUUGGUGCGGAGGAGUUGUUCAAAGAAGAUAAGACUGAUGAAGAGACCAAAAGGAAGCUUGAAAGCAUGGACAUUGAUGAAAUUCUUGAGAGAGCUGAGAAGGUUGAAACAAAGGCUGCUGAAGGGGAGGAAGGAAAUGAGCUUCUCAGUGCUUUCAAGGCAUGUAACACGCACUGUUGUAGAGCACAAAUUUUUUGUUUUAUUCUAUGUGGUAUUUUGGGUAGAUUAUUUUUCUUAAUUUUUUGAUAGGUUGCCAACUUCUCGAGUGGUGAGGAUGACGCUACAUUCUGGAGUAGACUAAUACAACCAGAUGCUGCAGAUAUGGUUCAGGUAUUGACUCGGGCAAUUGCUUCAGUUGUUGCUUGUCUUCAGCUCAAGCAAAGAGUAACAGCAGGUGUUUUCUGCAGGAAACUCUGGCACCUCGUGCUGCACGAAAUAAAAAGAGCUAUGUUGAAGAUCACCAACUUGAAAAAAAUAGCAACAGGAAAAGGCGCGCCGUCGAAGCACAAGAAAAGACAAGAAGGCGUUCCAACAGAGCAGUUGACACAAUGGUUUCGUUACCAUUGAUUGAUGGAGCAGUAGCUCAAGUACGCGAAUGGUCAUUUGGGAAUAUACCAAAGAAGGAUGCAUCCCGCUUUGUUCGAGCGGUAAUCUGCGCCUACUAUCAACAUAUUUACUUUUUUUUCUGUUUUUCUGACUGGCCAUUUACUUGUAUUUGAGUAUGCUAUUAUGACUCUUAUUCCUUUGUUAUAGAACAGUAAUUGAUAGGAUGUUGUAUCAAUUUUGGACUCGUCAUUUCUGACUAGAAAAGUUUUGCUGCUAGUUUCUUCAUAAUUUUGGUUAUCAAUGUGGCAGUAUGUAAGCAUCAAAGUAUAUUUAUUUGUCUUUUUGCGCUAUAUUUGUUUCUAAUUCUCAUUUAGUUCAUUAUCAUCCUAAAUGUAAUAAUAAAUGUAUUGCCAAAUUGUUUGGAACACAGAUCUGCAAAAUGUUAACUACGGGUUCAUCUGAUUUGUUCGGCAUGGUAGAGUUUACACUGAUAUUACGAGUUCUUUUCCAAGGCAAAAUCUGCUGCAGCACUAGUAAUAAGUUAGUCUCUUUUCUAAUUUUCUGAGAUUUUCGUGUCAGUCCUUUUACGUAAAAGGUAUAAAUUGGAUUAAAUUGUUUUGGGAAGCUAUAUAUGUUAGGCACAUUUUUUCUGCCAGCUUCAUCUGUCUCAUUCUAAUAGUGAACUUUUAGGUUAAAAAGUUUGGAAACCCAAGCCAAAUUGGCUUAAUUGUGGAUGAUGUUGGUGGUGCAAUAGCAAAAGCUCCAUGUGAAGCACAAAUUGAGCUGUAUGAUUUGCUCAUUGAUGGCUGUAAUGAAGCUGUUAAAGAGAAUACUGAUAUCAAGGUAUAACCCGUUCUGAUAUCACUUUCUUUAGAUGAAAUGGUAAUUGUUAGCUCGGUACUUUUUCAACUUUUAUUUAAGUUCACUUUGACGUGUUUCAAAUGUAGGGCACUGUAUUGGAUUUUUUUGGUGUGCCAGUGAAGGCCUAUGAGUUGUUGGCCCGGGUCGAAGAGCUUCAGUGCUUGGCAAAGCGUAUCGCACGGUACAAAGAUCCAGUUAGACAAUACCGGAUCCAAUCACCUUACAAGAAGCCUCAGUGGUCAGCAAGCUGUGGAUGGAUUGAAAGUAAUUGCCGUUUAUCUUGGGUUCCUUCAAAAUGUUUUAAAGUAUAGGCUCAUAAUUCGUCCUUGUAUCUUGUUUAGCUGAUGACGCAAGAUUACUGCUUGGAAUUCACUGGUAUGGUUAUGGAAAUUGGGAAAAGAUACGGUUGGAUUCAAAGCUUGGUCUGACAACAAAAAUUGCGCCAUCAACACUUGGUGAGAGAGAGACAUUUUUACCACGUGCACCAAACUUGGAUAAUCGUGCUAGUGCUCUGCUGCAAAAGGUACUCUGGCCUUCCUACCUGUUCUCCCUCAUGCGCAUUUAUGCCUGUCUGCCUGCUGUUUAUGUGCAAAUGCAUCUUGUGUUGCUUUAAUCAUUCUGUAUGGGAGGCAUGCCUGAAAUUCCUAGUAUAAAUAUAAAAUUGAGUUGUGGUUUCUUCCUGGAUCGAGUUGAGGUCAUCUAUUUUACUCAUGGUUGGAUGUCUGCUGUCAGAUGUGAUUAAUUAUUCUUCGUUGGCUUGCAUCUGAAGCCUCCUCUUAUGGCUAGCUAUCCAAACUCUCAAGUUUAUCUCGAUCCACCAAGAUUAGUUAUGCUGUUCUGCUCACGGUAUCCCAGCAGACGUAGUUAUGGGGUAUAAUUGUUUUUAAGCAACUUGUGAUCAAUUUUCUUCUCGCUUGCUGUAUAAAUUGAUGCUUCAUGUGAAAUUGUUUGAAGGAAAUAUAAAUUGAUGCACUAUACGAAAUUAUUUGAAUAAAAUAUAGAUCGAUGCUUCAUAUGAAAUUUGCAUCAUGUUUCUAUAGUCAAAAGUUUGCACAUUUUGCAUGUUUGACAACUUUUAUCAAUUGACAAGAAAUUAUGUUUUUGUAGGAAUAUUCCAAUCUGAGUGGAAAGAGCUCAAAGGCCAGAGGAGGGGCUAGCCAAACAGUCAAUAAUGAAACUAAUGGUGGUGCAAGAUCGCUGAGAGGCCGGCAAAAAGAUCUGAAACCGAAAGAUGAUAAUAAGUCAAAUAAAGAUGAUAUUAAAAAACGCAAGGUAGUGGAACCUGAAGCAAGGGAAGAAGGUGAAAUUUCAGAAUCUGAAGCAGAGACUAAAUAUCGUUUGGACAAGGAGGAAAAGUGGCUCGAAUGGUGCUCUGAAGUUUUGGACGAUGAGCAGGACAUAUUGAAACGGCUGGAUAGGCUACAGAAUACAAGUGUAAAUCUACCAAAGGAAAAGGUUUUCUCCUUUUAUCUGUAGAUGAUGAUAAUCUGUUAUUAAAAUGUUCUUCAGAUAGCCUAACCCUAUGACCAUAUAUUCAGGUUCUUUCAAGGAUUCGUAGGUACCUCCAGAUAAUUGGUGAAAAGAUUGGAAAGGUCAUUGUCCAACAUGGGGAAUCUUACAAGCAAUCGCGUAAGUGUGUCAUAGCUUCUAACUUUAUUGGAAACAUGCAUGAUCUUAAUUUUGAGUUGUUUCAUGAACAUUAAGGCAUUCUUUGCUGAGCAUUGGGUUGGUACCUUGAAAAACGCACAUAUUCCAUCAAAAAUAUGCCUAUCUUUUUCUCGAACAAAAAUGAUACUGAUCUUAGUAAGUGCGUCUCUUGCAGGUAUGGCCUCAAGAUUAUGGAAUUAUGUGGCAACUUUUUCAAACAUGUCCGGGGAGCAAUUGCGUGAUCUCUAUUUAAAACUUAGUCAGGACCAAAUGGAAGCUGGAGUCGGCCCCUCACAUGGUAGCAAUUUUCAGUCCGUUCCUCCCAACAGGGGUGGUGCUUCCAAUCAGCCUCAUCCUUCUAGAAACCAAAGGUCGACAAGGUCUCUUCAGCACACUCCAGAGUCUCUUAAUAAUGGUGAGAACACUGGGAACUCGGAAGCGUGGAAGCGGCGUAGGAGAGCUGAUUCGGAUAAUCAAUUUGACAACCAACCUUUGUAUCAACCUCCUCCAAUCAUAACAAAUGGGAACAGGUUGCAGGAAUCUAGCAGUUCAGCUGGUAUUCUUGGUUGGGGUCCAGUUGAAGCCAGACGGUAUGGCAAUGAUAGACCAAAACGAGGUGUUCAUCCUAGCCAUUUCCCUGCCGGGCAUGGUCCUUUGCUUUAGCUGAAGUAGUCAACUUUGUCAGUUGAGCAGCAUUGUUCCUAGGAGUCUUCAGCUUCUACAAAGGUGAAAUGGGGUUUUGAAAUUCUUCUUGGGAAAAGAAAAGAACGAAGUGUCAAAAUCUUAUCUGAAGCACAGCUUUGAGUCUGUCCCUCGAAGAAAUGCCAGGGAUCACCGAGGUGCUGGUACUUUUGAGCUAGAUUUACACAAUAGAUUCCUCUAACAACAAAACAAAUAUAUGGGUCUUGUAAACUGGCACAAGGAAGAGUCCCAGAAAUUUUGUCGGUUCAGUUUUGUGAUCUAAUAGAAGUACAUUUCAGUUGGGAUCUUUAAAAGAAGAUUCAUCUCAACAAUGAUCUAUAGUUCAACCUCAAUACAUGUAUGGUCUUUGACAUUGCAAUAUAAUGAAUUAUGGUUUAGUUGAGCAUAUUCCUCUCUCUCUCUCUCUUUCUCUCUCUCUCUCUCACUGCAAUAUGUUCUCUAUUGAUGUAAGAAAGCCAAGAAAUUCAUAAUUACUCUAUUUUCAAGGCAACAGAAGGAUUUAGUGAGGAUUCAAGUAUUUGUUUCCAUAUGAUUUCUGUUAAGCGAGGUGGCAUGACUGGGUACUAGUAUUGCUUCCAGCUGUCAAUAGUGUUUUUAAUGAUAGGCAAAGCAGAGCGUGAUGCUUCUACAUUGAAGAGUGAGAACUAAUAGGUGGGGUUCUAUCUAUUUUCUACAACUUGUUCGCUAUCAUGUUGUUUGUGCAGUUACUGUGUUUGCAAUUUGUUUUGUUCCAGAUCCCGUGGUGCCUGCAAACUGAGGAAAACCUGUGACCUUUCGUGGUACAUCCUAUCUGGUUAGUAGCCCUAUGACAUGGCUAAUUUGUUUUUCAAUUUUUUUAGGUUUUCUGGGCACGAUAUGCUCAGGAUAAAUAGAAUCUGUGACAACUGGACGGGUGGCUAUACUGUUAAAAAUAUAUGUGCGAAACAUUGUAGAUUUAAAACGUGGCAUUUAAUUUAAAAUCCAUAGACAGGUCAUCUUGAUAUUGUGUGUAUGCAAACUUGGUAUUAAUGGUUACAUGACACAAAUCGUAUUGAAGACGGCAGGAUCUAUUAUCUUUCAUAUGUAUGUUUAGUCGCUUUAUAAUGUCCUGUUGAAUGAUGUUUGAGUAUUUGUUACGGAGUAUCUAGGAAAUGGUAUAUAGACAACACUCCUGCGUUCCUAAAUAUAAGAUGUUCUAGCGUGUCUUAUGUCAAACUUAGUCAAACUUAAACAAAUUUUGACUUAGGAUAAAACUAGAACAUCUUAUAUUUAGGAAUGGAAGGAGUAUUAGUAUAUGAGCAUUUGCAUGGCUUAUGUCCGCUACACUUAUGUCCAGCGGUAACCGAGCAGAAGAAAUUCUCUUAUGAUGGCAGUCACCGUAGUUACACGAGUGAAUAGCUCCUUCCUUUUUCAUUUCAGUUCUCGGCUUUUUCAUCUUUGGUAGGAGCCCUUAGUCUUUUGAUUAGAGUAGAGGUCGUGACUCGUGAGCAUACCAUACCACCCGACCAUAGUCGCAAGGAUCUUAUUGGUCGGUCGUGACUGUUGAAACUUCCUGGAGAAAACUUCGAAUUGGGUGGGUGAUCCUCCCAGUGAACUGACUACCCCAAACCGGCAGGGAACCAUGUAUUUACUCCCAGGGUGCGUCGAGAGAACCAUGUUGGAGGAACUCAGGGUCACCUGGUGUCGGGCAAUCUGCCUAGUUCAGAUAUUUUCUCUGCUUAAGGUUUCUAUAUCCUUGCUGUGUCGCCUUGUGUGAAGUGCUGGCUUAUUUGUGCUUGAAGCAAUUCGGCAGGGAAGCUUGUUGCGCUUUCUUCCGCCUGGUUCACAUGUGGUUUGAAGAUGACAUGAGCCACUUUGAAAUUGUCGACGAGUAAAGACACCUGGUGCUGUACUUGCUAGUUUCAGAUUUCUGCUGUUUAGGAAUUGCUUACUUACGUAACAAAAAAAAGUGGCGGUCUAAGUAGACAAGUGGUUGGCCUAAAACCCGGGCUUCUUUCUGAUGAGAUGGGCUAUCGAGGAUUGACCACACUCGGCGACACCUGUAGUUGUGUGUUCUUGAAAUAUCUGUAGUGGGAGAAUAUGUAAAAGCAAGAAUGUGAUAAUUGUCACGUCCAUCAACCCAAUGAGUUGUGGUAUGGAAAGCAGAUGAAUCAAUCUAAAUUGAACUUUUUUAGGAAGAGCAUGAUCUCUGCAAGACCAUAGCCAGUGAGAAUCGCCGCCGUUAAUUUAGAUUGUCCUGCUCCAGCAAGAAAUUCCAAAAUCUAUCCGUGUGUUUUGUCCUCUUUUACCCGCUUCGAGAUAAUGAGAGAUACGCAGACAAAACUGCCAAACGGGAUACUAAUCCAGAAGUAACACGUUACUGAACGUUCAGAAGUCACGGAGCUUUCUCUGGCAGUGCAUGGUGGAAGAAAAUGCUCACUCCUUGAGCUUUGAUAUUACAGCAUAAAAAUCGUGAGAUAUUUAUCGUGAUGGAUUUAAAGGUGAAAGGGAUGGGUGACCGGCUACAAGUACUCCACUCAGCCUUGCUAUCUUUCCCCAUUCUGCUUCCUCUUUCUAUUGCGAGAGAUAUUUUCUGCUCAACCCCACGAGACGGCGAAGUUUCAAGCCCGAAGCAAGAAGAGGUUCCGCCCUUACUUCCCUGUUCAAUUCUUCGUUAUAACUUUCUGUUGGAAAUCUCUCGUCUUUCUACUGAAAUCUACGAAGAUACUCCUAUUUGCAGAAGGGCGGUGUGCUGCAGCAUUCGUGUUGUUUUCUUUCUUAGAUGCGAUGGUGCCAUGGAGAAUGGAGGCUCGUGUGGCGGAGACAGUGUUUGUGAUGCUCUGCGGCUGGCUCUCCUCCUGCCUCGCCGUUGCCGGCGACGUCGCCCACGCCCUCAGAACCAAUGACCUCUCAAUCUAGGCCACCUUUGACACCAACGGCGACAAGGAACCAACUCUGCUUCUACAGACUGGCCACUUCUAGAUUGCAGACAAAGAGUUCUUCCGUAAGACAAGUUCGAUGUAAAGGAGAAAUCUUCAUAUAGAAUAGAUGUGAAAUCUUGUCACAAAGAAAGAGAUGGCUACUGCUCGAAGUGACCUGACUUUCUAGCACUACAAAGCUCGUCGACGGAACUACACAGAGAAAUAUCCGAUAAAAAAAACCUUGAGAAGGUGCAGCGGUGUAUAUACGGAUUCUAACUCAUGAGAGGUUCCAAACCAUCUGGACUUCGAUGUUAUCGCCUCCCGGAUGAUUUCUUGAAAGACUCCGGCUUCCGGUGACCUCUUGGAGCCUGCUCCUCAUCAUCAUCGUCGUCAUUCCCCUUCCUCCUCCUCUUCUUGCUGCCACCGUCCUCCUUCAAUUUCUAAUAUAUAGCAACAAUGGUGACAACAGAAUCAAUCCAGCUGUCAUGGAAAUAUUAAAUUGAUUGGCCUUUCGAGUACAUACCGUUAGCGCGAUCCUCCUUGAGUCGGAUAUAUGCUCACGAAGUAUCAUGAUUUCAUCCGCAUCUACCUUACGAGGAUCUCCAAUUUUCUUUCCUGUUAAAGUAAGCGAUGGCUUCAGAACAAAAUAAUCUCCAAUUAUGUGUGCAAGGGAGACCGACAAACAAGGAAAACUAUUACCAAGGAGCGCCUCAAUCAUCUUAAACCACUCAGUCUCGUAUUGAUUUACCAAAGAUACAGCAUAUCCUGAUUUCCCAGCACGUGCAGUCCUACCCACCCGAUGGAUAUAAUCCUGAAUUGGUGUAGUGUACAUUUAUAAUCAAUGACAAAAUACAAAUGCAUGAUCUUCUUGAAACUGAAAACAAUAUGCAUUGAUCAGCAAAAUCGGAAAUAUCUAAAGUAUAAACCUUAGAAUUCAUUGGGAUAUCAUAAUUGAUAACAGCAUCAACUCCUUGAAUGUCAAGACCACGGCUCGCCACAUCAGUGCAGAUAAGGAUGUUGAAAUCUUUUGCUUUGAACUUGUUUAAAGCACCUAGUCUUUUGUCCUGAUAAAGAAAGGAAAGGUAACAAUUUGAGGUGAUAAGUAUUAUUUAUGGUUAAAAGCAUGUCAAAAAAGGCACUUCGACUUCCUAAAUAGACAGCCUAAUUGAACGGGAAAAUUAAAUACUUGUCUGAUAGAAAAGUUAAGAAAGUAAACCUGACUCAUUUGGCCACUGAUAGAGAGAGCUUUAAAUCCAAGAUUCCUUAAAGUGAGAGCCAGGAGUCUUGUUGACUCACAGGUCCGCACAAAGAUCAUGAUCAUGCUCCCUGGUAACUCAUUGAGAGCAUGAACAAGAUAACAAUCCUGAAACCACAUACAAAAAUGAUGAAUGAACAAUAAAUAGAAAUGGUACUCCAGCCACUAUAGUGAAUUAAGCUAAUCCCGGCCAUCAGUGUAUAAGGAAUUCCUGGGCUUAAUCAGCAUGCUUAUAUUAAAGUGUAGAAGAAAUCCAAAGAGGUAACACAGGCAUGCGAUUUAUUACACAAGAAAUGGAACUUGACUCUUAAUCUGGUAGGGCGUGGCAUGAGCAUGGAACCACAGAUCAUGAUAUCAGGACAAAAAAGACAGAACUGGUCUCUUAACCUUAAUGUAAUUACGCAAGUAUAUAUCAGCCACAUGGCUACAGAGCCACACUCCCAGUAAGUACAAGAACUAACCUUGUAGGCUGCAGGAACAAAAUACCAUUCUUGUUUAAGUGUGUCCACUGUAGAAUAUUUGGAGGAUACUUCCACCUGGUACCCCCAGAUAAGUAAGUUGCUCUUCCUUUAAUGUGCUGCUUAUUAAAUGCUCGUAAGACAAAGAAACAAUGGUGUCACCUUAGCAGGGUUUCUGAGACAAGCACGUUGCAGUUUGGCUACCUGCGGAGAAAAUUCAUAAGCUAUUCUGCAUUAGGUCUAACUAAAAAAUUAGGUAGCUAAGCCAUGAAGCACCACCAGUGAGAAAAAUAAGCUAGGUCACAUGUUCAAGUAGUAGUUCUAGAAAAACAAAUAUACCACAAAUUCGUUACAAUAAAUAGAAUUAUAUGACAAACUAUCCUCGAUUGCAGUAUCUCAAGAAUAUAUAAAAUAAUUAUCAAACCAGGUAGCAAAUAUGGGACAUCAAUCUGAUGAUUCAACAUGAUGUUUUAGUACUUUUGUUUCACGAGUUCAGAGGAAUGGUAACAAAAUCGCUUUCCUAUCCACAAACCUUUUUGGUCAUUGUAGCUGAAAAAAGGUAAGUUCUCCUUUCUUUCGGAAUGGCCUUGAGAAUAUCAUCGAGUGAUUCCUUAAACUCCAAAUUAAGUAAUUUAUCAGCUUCAUCCAGUACCUAGGAAGCCAAUACGUAGAGCAUGUGUCAAAAUAGAAGUUUCUAAGUUCAAGCAACUUGAUAUAAUUGACCAUGAGGUAUGCUUGAACAAUAUCAGGAAGUAGUUGACAAUGAAGGUACUGAACAGCUUGGUCGCCAACAUACUUAUGAUCGGUAACAUACAGCACAUUGCUUCAACUUACAGCAGAGAAGUUACAACAAGUAUUUGAGCAUAUAGAACCAAGAGUGAAAUUGGAAACAAAUACCAAUAGGGUGUCAUGAUUUCUCUCCCUUUGCUUAGUAGUUAGUAUUGCUAGUUCACAACACACACACACACUAGUGACAUUCACUUUGGCAAAAUAGGCUUUAAGUAAAUAGAAGGAAAAUAUGUUUUAUUAUGUUGGACGUUUAGCAUAACACUUCAGGGAUGAGCUCUUUCCACAAAUGUAACUUCCUGCUUUGACAGGUAAAAGAAGGUUAGUGAAAAGCCACUUUUCUAUGCUACACAUUACACCGAUUUGUAACAAGCGCAUGUGAUUUUCAACAGUUAAAAGUCAAAUCCAACCAAAGGAAACUCUUGUACCCAACAUUCAGCAAUCAGAAUUUUCUAAUCAUAUAUGAAACAUCAGUGUAAUUUAUACAUUAAAAAGAGUGUAUGCUUCAUAACGGGUAAACCAUGAUAACAUAUUUGCCAUGGAUGCCACUAAGAAAACAACUAGAAAAUGCUGAUAUACAAAUGAGGCUGCGACGAAGGUGAAGGAUUACAAUUGUCAACACAAGAAGCCCAACAAAGAGACUGCAGAAUAAAAAAAACUCAAGUUCUUAAAAAAUGCAAAGAAUACAUACCAAGUACUUCACUUUGUUUAGGCUAAAACCUUUUGUAUCUUUCAAAUGGUCCAAAAGACGACCAGGAGUUCCAACCUACACUUUGAAGCAAUUGAUUAAGAAACAACCUUGAGUCCAGGCCAAGACCAUUUUUCGAUGUCACAGAAGAAAUUGAAACCUUAUGCAUGUGAAGUUCUUAAGUUUGUCUCGUAAGCCUAAGCCCCAUGUGUUCUAUACUGAGAACACAUCUCUACGCAAACUGAGAACACACCUAUGCUGAGUUCAGUUAAGUGUAGGCGUCUAGGCCUUAUAAGGAUGUGUUUGCGAGCAUGGUGGUUUCCAAAAAAAAUGCAAGCACUUACAUAAUAUUAACUUGGAUAUAUUACUUGUUCAAAAAAAAACUUGGAUAUAUUACUGAUCAUUAAAUCUCUUCUUUAGGGCCUUAAUAAACUGAAUGAACAUGAAUAAUAACCGAAGUCGAAAGGCCCAAUAAGAUGGCCAACUGGAGAAGCUUCAGCUUUGGACAAAAAGGCCUUGCUUAACUCAAUAAGAAUGACUAUACGCUAGAGCACAUGCUAAAGCUUUUCCACUCAGGGAUAAAAAAACGUGUUGGCUGUGGAUUUGGCAGCGCAGAUGCACAUGUGCCACCUACAUACUCAAGCACACUUGUAAUCCCACAGCACAGAGGAUCCACAACAUGCAUUGUCUUGGGUGUGGUUGAGAAAUUCAUUGAUCUUAAAUGAACCAUACUCACCACAAUAUGUGGACGUUUUGCAAUGGAUAACACUUGCUGCAUCCGAUCAACUCCUCCAACAAGCUGCAAAAAGGGGCAAAUGAUUAAAACACAGCAAAUUGCAUUUUCAAAUUAUAAUGAGCAGAAAUAAUCAACAUUAGAGAGAAUAGUGAAGCAGCUUGGUCGUAGUGGAAGAGACAUUAAGGAACUUUGAAUUGCUCGAUAUAUGCUUGUAUAGAAACAAAGUUAUGAUGUAUAGUUAGGAUCUUAACUGUAGAUAUAACCAUGGUCCACUAUGCUUUCACCACAUCAAAUUAGGCUAAAGAUAUUCAAAACCCAAAUAAGAAAUGUUAUCAGACCAGACUCUUUCUACACCAAAAGUUUAUCAUCACAACAUUGGCAACCAGUAAAUAAAAUACAACGAUUAGUUAAAUCACAACAAUGACCCACGUAAGCGCGCAAAGAACUGCCAACAUCCACAUCCAUUUGGUUGUGAUCUUCAUAUCAGAUUAUCAGAACAAAUAAUUCACAAGCAUUAUCAUCAUCUUCACAUUAUGCUCGAUUAAGAGGAAAUGUUAUCCAUUAAUUUAAACCAUCAAGCCCAUCAAGCCAACCAAAGACAACAGCCAAAACAGAUCAUCGUCAUAGACAUAACUGAACCAUCAACUGAGCGAACUAAUGGAACAAAGACAAUUUAGAGCUAGCAACACAAGUUCCAGCCAGACUAUGUUCUGAACUUACGAAUAAUAAACAGCCAAUUGUAGUAGUACCACUUACCACGGAGCAAACCAAGCCGAUCGCGGACCCGAGCGCCUCAAACUGCUCCGCAAUCUGAAUCGCUAGCUCCCUGAAGCAAAAUAGUCAAACAGUAAGCUUCCACGCGGGUGGUGAAUAAAAUGUGCCGCAAGAAGGGAGAGGGAAAAAAAAAGGUGACCUCGUGGGCGACAUGACGCAUGCGAAGAAGGGCCGGCGGUGCUCGAGCAGCGCCUGGAUAAUCGGCAGCGCGAACGCGCCCGUCUUGCCGGACCCCGUCUGCCCCAGCCCAAUCAGGUCCCUCCCUGCACUCCCCCACCCAAACCGGAAACUCGAGUCAGCAAACUCGCCAGCAUCGAUCACGACUGCAGAUGGCCGGCGGCGGUGCAGGAUUGCUGGCACGCAGGCAAACACGCGCGCGGAGGAGGGGUGAGCUAGGUAGUUACGGAGUACUUACCUUGGAGGGCGUGGGGGAUUGCCCCCGCCUGUAUCUUCGUGGGCUCCUUCCACCCCAUGGCGUCGCACGCGUCCACCAGCUCCCGGCAGAUGCCCAGCUCCGCGAACGUCGAUGCCUCGGCCACCGGCUCCGGCUCCGGCUCAGGGUCCCGGUCCGCCGCCAUCGCUGCUACGAGGAGGAAGGAGAAGCUCUUCUGCGCGCGUGCGUCGGCGUGUGUUGGUGCUUGGCGCGGCGGUGGGUUUGCUAUGACGGGACGGAGAACGAAGAACCUGGCGCGGGCAUUAAACCCUUGCGGACGGGGAGGACUAUAACUGGCAGUUGGCCAACGGGCCCGUGCCGGGCCCAGGGCCGCAUUUAAACGGGCCGGGCCGUUAGGACGGAAGGCAGGCCCAGGCUAGUUUAGCACGGCGGCCCGUGAAGAAAAUACAAAAAAAUAAAGAAAAAUGCUAAAACAGCCUUGCCAUGUUGAGGACAAGACACGGUCCAAGGCAGGCCGCGGGGCAGGAACGGCCCGUUUAGCCUCGGGUCGGGCCAGUCCCAAGCCGGGCCGAGUCUCUGUGCCUGUGGGCAUUUUGACCGCCUCGGGUUGCCAGCUAUGGGCUGGCUAACGAGCAUGUUCGGUUCAUUAAGAAUUCGGUUCGUUAAGAGCUCUGUUCGUUAAGAGUUUGAAUCGUUAAGAUCGUUAUCGUUAACGAUCUGAGACCAUUAUUUGGCUCGGUUCAUUAAGAGCUUGCGAGCGCUUGUUAAACUCGUUAAGAUAAAUAGAAGUCAUGUUGAUCUAAUUUUUUUGGCAUUUUUUAUUUGCUUGGGAUAAAUUUUGGUCUCAACCAAAAUAUAUCAAAAGCUCAACAACGCUAUAAAAAUUGAAAAUAGCACGUCAAAAGAGAAAUAACAACACAAUUAGAGCAUCAAAAUAAGUUGAAGUAGCCACUCACACGUGAUGUACGAGACGAGCUCGCUAACGAGUUUAACGAGCGCUCGCCAAGCUCGUUUUUUAAGAUCGUUAAGCUUAACGAUCUGAAAAGGAAGUCAUGCCGGACCCUUAACGAACCGAGUUAGCGAGCGUUCAAUAAGAUUAUCGAACUUUGAUCUUUUUGCCUAGGCCCUAUGACGGAGGAAAGAGUAAUAAGAUUGUAUAAUAACCAAGAUUGUAUCGGUUGCUGAGGAAAGAGUAAAAAUACUCCCUCCAUCCCAUAUUAAGUGACUCAAAUUAUUACAAUAUGUGACGACAUUCUGUUAGAAUACUGAAAAUGAUAAAUGCAUUUGGAAAUUAACAAGUUUGGUCAAUUUUCAGUAGGGUCUUUGUAUAUAGGAUGUUGAAAGAUGGAGUUUGUGGGUGAUACUCUGCGCCUGGCUCUCCUCCAGCCUUGCCGCCGCCGGCUAUGUCGCCAACGUCGUCAGAACCAAUGACUUCUCCAUCUAGACUGCCUUUGGCAACGCCGGCGAGAAGGAACCAACUCUGCGUCUACAAACUAGCCACUUAAUUUGGCGCCACAGGGCAAGGUGAUUGAUAGAGUUCUUCCACAAGACAAGUUCGAUGUAAAGGAAAAAUCGACAUAUAGAAUAAAUGUGAAAUCUUGUGUCAAACAAAGAAAUAGCUACUGCUCAAAGUGUCCUGAUUCAUAGCUAGUGUAUCAAAAGGAACUACAUAAACAAAAUUUUGAUACAGCCUUGGGAAGGUGCAGUGGACAGCGGUGUAUAUACGGAUUCGAACUCGUAUGAGAGGUUCCAAACUAUCUGGACUUCAAUGUUAUCACCUCCUGGAUGAUUUCUUGAAAGACUUUGGUUUCCGGUGACCUCUUGGAGCCUUCUCCUCUUCUUCAUCGUCAUCAUCAUCCUGCUUCCUCCUCUUCUUGUGGCCACCGUCCUCCUUCAAUUUCUAAUGUACAAAAAAAAUGGUGACAUGGUAUCAAUCGAGCUGUCCGGGAAAUAUUAAAUUAAUAGGCCUGUCGAGUACAUACUGUUAGCGCAAUCCUCCUUGAGUCGGAUAUAUGCUCACGAAGUAUCAUGAUUUCAUCCGAAUCUACCUUGCGAAGAUCAAUUUCCUUUCCUGUUAAAGUAGGCAAUUGCUUCAGAAAAAAAAAACUCCAAUUAUGUGUGCAAAGGAGACAAACAAACAAGGAAAACUAUUACCAAGGAGCGCCUCAAUCAUCUUAAACCACUGGCCCUCAUAUUGAUUUACCAAAGAUACAGCAUAUCCUGAUUUCCCAGCACGUGCAGUCCUGCCCACCCGAUGGACGUAAUCCUGCAUUGGUGCAGUGCACAUACAUAAUCAAUGACAAAGUACAAAUGCACGAUCUUCUUGAAACUGAAAACAAUGUGCAUUGAUCAGCAACAUCAGAAAUAUCUAAGACCUUAGAAUUCAUUGGAAUAUCAUAAUUGAUAACAACAUCAACUCCUUGAAUGUCAAGACCACGACUCGCCACAUCGGUGCAGAUAAGGAUGUUGAAAUCUUUUGCUUUGAACUUGUUUAAAGCACCUAGUCUUUUGUCCUGAUAAAGAAAAGGAAGGUAACAAUUUGAGGUGAUAAGUAUUAUUCAUAGCUGUAUGUCAAAAAAGGCACUUCGACCCUAAAUAGACAGCCUGAUUGAAUGGUAAAUUAAAUACUUGUCUGAUAGAAAAGUUAAGAAAGUAAACCUGACUCAUUUGGCCACUGAUAGAGAGAGCUUUAAAACCAAGAUUCCUUAAAGUGAGUGCCAGGAGUCUUGUUGACUCACAGGUCCGUACAAAGAUCAUGAUCAUGCUCCCUGGUAACUCAUUCAGAGCAUGAACAAGAUAACAAUCCUGAAAUAGCAUACAAGAAUGAUAAAUGGAUAAUAAAGGGAAAUGGUGAGAAUGAAUUAAGCUAAUCUCGGUUAGGAGGACAGUUUAUUCAAUGUAUAAGGAAUUUCUGGGCUUAAUCAGCAUUAAUGUAACUCGGAGUAAGUUACCAUAAUAACUACCACAUUGGCACAGAGCCGCAGUUCGAUUAAGUACAAGAACUAACCUUGUAGGCCGCAGGAACAAAAUACCAUUCUUGUUUAAGUGUGUCCACUGUAGAAUAUUUGGAGGAUACUUCCACCUGGUACCCGCAAAUAAGUAAGUCUAUUAGUAAAGUUCCUAAUCCAUUAAUGUUUUUUUGCUUAUAAAAUGCUCAGGAGACAAAGAAAGAAUGUUGUCACCUUAACAGGGUUUCUGAGACAAGCACGUUGUAGUUUGGCUACCUGUGGAGCAAACUCAUAAGCUAUUCUGCAAUAGGUCAUGCGAACUAGCCAUGGCUACAAAGAUUCUCAUUUUAAGGACAUGCUCAAGUAGUAUUUCGAGAAAAACAAAUACAGCACAAAUUCGUUACAAUAAAUAGGAUUAUACCCAAGAAUUUAUAGAAUAAUUAUCAAACCAGGCAGCAGAUAUGGCUACAUCAAUAUGAUGAUUCAACGUGAUGUUCCAGUAAUUUUGGUUCACGAGUUCAGAGGAAUCAUUCGCUUUCCUAUCGACAAACCUUUUUGGUCAUUGUAGCUGAAAAAAGAUAGGUUCUUCUUUCUUUAGGAAUAGCCUUGAGUAUAUCAUCCAGAGAUUCCUUAAACUCCAAAUUAAGUAAUUUAUCAGCUUCAUCCAGUACCUACGAAACCGAUAAAUAGAGCACGCGUCAAAAUAGAAGUAUCCAAGUUCAAGCAAGUUGAUAUAAUUGACCCAAUGUGCUCCAACAAUAUCAGGAAAUAGUUGACAAUGAAGUUACUGAACAGCUUGAUCGGUAACACAUAGCACAUUUUUACGCAAAAAAAGGGUAACACAUAGCACAUUGCUUGAACUUACAACUGAGAAGUGAGAACAAAUAUUUAAGCAUAUAGAACCAUGUGUGAAAUUGGAAAGAAAUACCAAUAGGGUGUCAUGAUUUCUGUCCCUUCACUUAGUAUUGCUAGUCCGCAACACACACACACUAGGGAUUUUCACUUUGUUAAAAAUAGGCUUUAAGUAAAAAGAAGGAAAAUGUAUUUUAAUAUGUUGGAUGUUUAGCAUAACAAUUCAGGGAUGAGCUCUUUCCACAAAUAUAACUUGCUGCUUUAACAGGUAAAAGAAGGUUAGUGAAAAGCCACUUUUCUAUGUUACACAUUACUCCGAUUUGUAAUACUGGUUCUAUCUGUCACAAGCACAUAUGAUUUCAACAGUUAAAAGUCAAAUCCAACUAAAAGAAACUCUUGUACCCAACAUUCAAUAAUCAGAACUGUCUAAGCAUAACUGGACCAUCAGUAUAAUUUAUACAUUAAAAAGGAGUAUAUGCUUCAUACUGGGUAAAUCAUGAUAACAUAUUUGCCAGGAAUGCCACUGAGAAAACAACUAGAAAAUGUUGAUAUAUAAAUCAGGUUGCGCGAAACCUAAUAUAAGCCCAACAAAGAGGCCACAGAAAUAAAAAAACCUGAGUUCUGAAAAAUGCAAAGAAUAUAUACCAAGUACUUCACUUUGUUUAGGCUAAAACCUUUCGUAUCUUUCAAAUGGUCCAACAGACGACCAGGAGUUCCAACCUACACUUCAAAGGAAUUGAUUCAGAAAACAGGCUUGAGUCCAGACCAAGAUAGUUUUCCGAUGUCACAGAAGAAAUCAAAACCUUAUGCAUGGGAAGUUCUUAAGUUUGUCUCGUAAGCCUAAGCCCCAUGUGUUCUAGACUCUAGAGAAACACAUAUACGCUGAAUUCAAUUAAAUAAAGGCAUGUCUUAUAAGGAUGUGUCUGUCAGCAUGGUGGCUUCCAAAAAUUGCAAGCAUUUACUCCCUCCGUUCCAUAAUUCUUGUCCCAAAUUUGCUUAAAUAUGGAUGUAUCUAUUCCUAAAAAGUGUCUAGAUACAUGUAAUAUUUCGACAAGAAUUAUGGAACGGAGGGAGUACAUUAUAUUAUCUUAGGUAUAUUAUUACAGAUCAGUAAAUCCGUUCUUUACGGCCUUAAUAAACAGAGUGAGACUAAAUAGUAACCUAAAUCAAAAGGCUCAAUUAACUGGCCAAUUGGACAAAAAAUCCUUGCUUGACUCAAUAAGAAUUACUACAAGCUAAUGCCCAUGUCAGAGAUUUUCCACUCCGGUAUAAAAAAAUGUGUUGGCUGUUGAGUGUGGAUUUGGCAGCAUAAUUGCACCUACAUACUAAAUCACACUUGCAAUCCCACAGCACAAAGGAUCUGCAACAUGUAUUGUCUUAGGUGUGGUAGAGAAAAUCAUUGAAUAUAAAUCAAUCAUACUGACCACAAUAUGUGGACGUUUUGCAAUGGAUAACACUUGCUGCAUCCGAUCUACUCCUCCAACAAGCUGGAAAACAGGGGAGAUGAUUAAAAUCAAGUAGCUAGUGGCAUGGUAGACAAAAAACACAUCAGUGCAUUAGAAAAACAGCAGAUUGCAUGUUCAAAUUAUAGCAGAAACAAGAACAUUAGAGAGAAUAGUGAAUCAGAUUGGUUGUGGUGGAACCUUGAAUUACUCGAUAUAUGCUUGUAUAGCAACAAACUUAAGUUGUAUAGUUAGGAUCUUAAAACUGUAGAUGCAACCAUGGUCCACUAUGUUUUCACCAUAUCGAAUUAGGCUACAGGUAUUCAAAAUCCAAUAAGACGGAAUGUUACUAGGCAACCGGUAAAUAAAGACCAAUAGAGCAACACAAGUUCCAGCCAGACUAUGUUCUGAACUAUGAAUAAUAACAGCCCAUUGUAGCAGUUCCACUUACCACGGAGCAAACUAAGCCGAUCGCCGACCCGAGCGCCUCAAACUGCUCCGCAAUCUGAAUCGCCAGCUCCCUGGACACAAAAGCCGCACAGUAAGCUUCCACAUGAGCUCAAUAGAGGAAAAUGUGGCCCAGAAUGGGGGCAAAAAAAAGGUGACCUCGUGGGUGACAUGACGCAUGCGAAGAAGGGCUGGCGGUGCUCGAGCAGCGCCUGGAUAAUCGGCAGCGCGAACGCGCCAGUCUUGCCGGACCCCGUCUGCCCAAGCCCAAUCAGGUCCCUCCCUGCAGUUCCCCAGCAAAACCGAAGCUCGAAUCAACAAUCGGCAGCAUCACAGCUGCAAAUGGCCGGCGGCGGCACUUGAUUGCUGGCACGCACGCACGAACGCCCGCGGAGGGCUGAGCUAGCUAGUGAUAUUACUUACCUUGGAGGGCGUGGGGGAUGGCCCCGGCCUGUAUCUUGGUUGGCUCCUUCCACCCCAUGGAGUCGCAAGCGUCCACCAGCUCCUUGCAGAUGCCCAGCUCCGCGAACGUCGACGCCUCGGCCACCGGCUCCGGCUCCAGCUCAGGCUCCCGCUCCACCGCCAUGGCUGCUUCCGAGGAGGAGUAGAGAAGCUCUUCUGUGCGUGAGUGCGGGCGCGCGUGCGUCGGCGAAAGGGGCGGCUUGUGUUGGUGCUUGGCGCGGCGGUGGGUUUGUUAUGACGGGAGGUAGAAGGAAGAACCUGCAUUAAACCCUAGCUGACGCGAGGAGACAGAGGAAGGGGAAAGCUUUCAAUGGGCUGGGCUGGGCUUGGCUGGCAUGCUCGGCCCAACGACAUGAACCGCCAUGUAAAUAUACGACCAUGGGCUUCUAAGCCCGCGCCUUUGAUUGCCUCGUGCUGAUCCUUUGAUUGUGGCCCACUGCCAGGACCCUUGUUGAUGAUGUUUCCAGACCGUUGGCUGUUAGGAGGGAGACGGCUGUCUGGACCUGUACAUAUGUCUGCUGCUUGGCCACCGAACGACAUGAGAGCAUCUCUAGCACACAGCGAAUACAGCCCGAUCCAAAAAAUAACCGCCGUUUUUCGGUUUUUUGGAAAAAAAAUCCCUAGUAGAUACCGAAAACCGAUCCUGAUCCGAAAAAACUUUUCGGGGAUCCGAACUCACGAGCGAAAAAUUCCUAAACGAUCGGGACACGAAUCGGUUUUCACUUCCUCACCGAUCUCGUAAAAAACGGUUGGAGCUCACCCGCACGUUUUAUUUCCACCUGACUGCUUCAUCUUCCUCCUUUGGCCGCCGCCAACCCGCCUCCUCGGGCCGUCGCUCCCUCCAGCCAUGGCCUGGUGCUCCGCGCCUUGCUCAGGCUGACGCUCCCCCCCCCCCCCCCGGGCAUGGCCUGCUCGCCCCGCCGCGCCCUGCUCGCCCCUCGCCCCACGCCCGCCGCUCCUGCUCUCGCACCGCCCCCAUGACCUCCUCUCUGGCCGUCCGCCGCUGGUUCUGCGGCUGCUCGCCGGUUGCUGUGUGUGAGAAAUUCGGGUCGAAUUUGAUCUGUAUGGGUGCGAAUUUUCCGGUCGAAUUUGGUUUGUGUGUGUGCAUAUUUGGAUGAAUUGUCGAACUGUCGAGUUUUAUCUAACGAAUUGUCGUUUUUCGUUUCGGUAUCUUUUUACGGUUUUGCGCGGACUCGGGUAGAACAGUUACCGAAAACCACCUUUUCGGGUCAGUUUUCAGAUUAUGUUCUGGCCGGGUAAAAAUGAAAACGAAAUCCACUGAUUCGUUAUACCGAAUACACGUUUUUUCGGUUCGGAUUUUUUUAGUUACUGCUAGAAGUUGCUCGAGGUACUAUUAGUAGCUAGCAGCCCGGCUGAUCGAGCUGAUGCAUGCACUGCAUGCAAUACCAUAUGUGUGCACAGUUCCCUGAAGAUUACUGCUUAUAUACUAACAUGAACAGAGAACUGAAACUCAUCUUGAAAAAAAAAAAGGAAUGUGGUCUUGUAUUUUCCACCGAGAAAAUUUACUGCCACAUGAAGCCCUGAGAAGAUAUUUUGUUCCCUUCUUUUGAGCUUGUUAUCUAAUUUAUGUAGGAAAAGAUUGUGCUGCCCCUGGAACUGAACUGUGGUUGUUAAUAUGGUAUUUUUGACUGUUUUACCAUAUCAAUGACAAUUAAAGUAAAAGUUGAACAUAAUAAAAUAGUACAUAUUACAAGUCUAACAAAAGGAAAAGUCUCAAAUGUCUGAUUUUACACAAUGAAAAUAAAUUGCAUAUGCUGAGAAGAGGCUAAACUUGGUGUGACAGUUGGUUAACUUUUUUUAGAUUGUUGUCUACUUUGCAGUUUUGCCAACAAUUCUAUAAAGUCCAAUGCAUAUGUUAACCUGACCUUGAUCAGUAAAAGUCCCAUGGAUAUGUUAACCUGACCUUGAUCAAUAAAGCUAUGAUGAAAGGAGGAAAUAGCACAUCAAUCCAGUUUGAAAUUAGAUCAGCACACGUCUGGAGUAACCUGACCUUGAUCAGUAAAAGUCCCAUGGAUAUGUUAACCUGACCUUGAUCAGUAAAAGUCCCAUGGAUAUGUUAACCUGACCUUGAUCAAUAAAGCUAUGAUGAAAGGAGGAAAUAGCACAUCAAUCCAGUUUGAAAUUAGAUCAGCACACGUCUGGAGAGAGAAACAUGAGACUUGCAUGCAUAAGAGAGAAAUUAGUGCAUCAUCCCAACACUGACCAUGCUGUAAUCUCGUCAUCCUAAUUUCAACAAUAGAGCCGGCGACAGAUCCCGGGGAGAUGGUGCGGACGCCGGUUGCGGGGGAAAUGGGGAAGGCCGCCGGCGGUGGGGAGGAGGGGCAGGGCGGCCGGAGGUGGGGUGGGAGAGGAGCGGCGGCAACAGUGGAGAGGAGCCCAAUCCCGCUAGGGUUGGGCGAUGGGGAGGACGACUGCACGCGAGCGGGUCAGGUCUGCGUGUUUUUUCUGGAUGAACUUGGCGAUGGCAUUUUGGUCGUAAAAACGGUUCGCCGUGGGGGCAAGCCCGAAAAACUGGUCUUGACUGGUUUCUGGUAGCAACUCCUUUAAACGUGAUUUGGGUUGGCCUUCUGGUAGCAGCCCGUGAGAAAAAAAAAUUUCUUUCUUUUUCAGCUUCAGUUGCCGGGAACCUAAAAGCUGGCCCAGAAGCUCAAAGAAGGGGGCUAUAUGGAAACAUCCUUGGUUCCAUUGAUCCAGUGAGGCUGGGGGCUGAGUUUUUGCACAUCGAUAGUUUUGAAUUGCUUUGUUGACUUCGAUCAUUAAUUAUUGGUCCCUUAGGGCAACUCCAGUGUCCCUAAUUCAUCCGGCAAUAGAACUCCAUAUUGCGAUGUCUUAACCAAAUCAAUCAUCAAAGUCUUUACAAAUUUCUCUUGGACAUAUUAAUGAAAAAAGAAGAAGAAGAAGACGGCCUCCCCCGCCCGCCAUAGCCAAGGACCUAACAAAAAAUAGUUUUUGUGUUACAGAUAGGACACAAAAUAAUACGUACCACGCACUAGGGAAGACCACUUAUUUGCACGGAUUCUGCACAUUUUUUGGUUGUUCAAAGAUGUGCACACUAGAGGAUAUAUAGUGUCCCGGCCGUUUGGAGUAUCCGGAUAGAUGAAAUUCCUCGGUUUUAAACAACAAGGUCCGACCAUGCAAAUUAAGCUUUCUACUGAAACAAUUGAGUGUACGUAGUCGAGAUAGAAAAGGUGUGAGUUCCAAGGAACUCAAUCGAAAACUCAAACACGAUCCAUACACAGGUUUUGCGCAGCAAAGUGUUGGCUGCUUUUCGGGGUUUUUCCUUUUCUUUAUUCAUCAUUCAUAUAUAAGAUAAACGAGAGAAGCGGUGUCACGAUCUGGACUGGCCGUGCCAUCCCACGACGAAUCGUGCGAGCUACAUGUGUGUAACAAAACAGCGACAAGUAUUUAGAAACUGAAUGAGUACGAGGCAAUGCAGUAACGAAAAGCGUACGUGAUAUAUAGGAAAAAUUAAAAACAAUGAAGAAUCGAUGCAAAUUAAGCUAGUACGUGCUGGCGGCGAUGAAUGAAGGGGCCGGAUUAAUUCAGGCGGACGUACUCUCCGCUGAAUUGGUCACCCAGUGUGAUCUUCUUCAAGCCGCCCGCCGUAUUGACCCGCUGAUUAUGAGGUUCACGGACUGCAGCUUCACCACCAGGUCCUUGACGACCAUGUGCUUGUGGAUAUAAGAAGGCCGCGAGAACGUCGACGUCAGCUUCGUCACGUCGGUAACAUCAUUGUACGCGCCUCCCGUCCAAGUAGCAGCACAAAGAGGAGCGGCGGGAGGGCGCGAGAUAUCUUGGAGGAUCUAUAUACGUACACAGGCAGGUAUUAUACAUUGAGAGAGACCGGAAAAAAGGUCCAUAUAUAAUACAGUAAGUGUUUCAGUAUAUAAUGGAUCGGAUGAAGUAGUACUGUAAUUAACAUGCAUGAUAGAUAUGGAUCAACUUGCCGUGGCGUCCUUGUCCGAUCCGAAGCCAAACGUCUCGACGGCGUAGUCUAUGACGCGGACCAGCCGAGCGUUACCUAUGUUCUCAGCUCCGUCGGACAGGAGAAAGAUAACACCCUGAUGGUCCGUUCUCUCACGUUCUUGGAGGACCCGGAGGCCUGCCUCCAUAUUGGUCCACCCGUCCGCUUUAAUGUCUUCCCUUAUUAUACGUGACGCUUCUUUCUACUCGACUGGACCCAUCAAGGUCAGGUCGUACUUGAGAUCAGCAUCGUCACUGAAGGUAACGAUGCACAAGCGGUCAAGGCCGCGGAGCCAAGAGAUGACCUUCUCCAUGCCUUUCUUCAGAUUCUCCAGCUUAUCCCCCGCCAUGCUCCCGCUGGUGUCCAGGACAACCCCCAAGUCCAUCUGAGCUUUUGGGUCCCCUGGCUUUAUUUCAGGUGCGGUGAACUGCAGCAGCAACUGCGCCCGUAGGAAAACGACUCAUGAUGACAUGCCACCAAUCCCCCUGCCAUAAGUAUGUUUAAUUCCUCCAUUGGGUUGCAUUUGCAUAUCAAACACGCUGAGCAAAACAAAAAAAACAAAAAAACAAACGUACCUGCCAUGGUGUUGUGGGAGCCUUUGUGACCAACUAGGAAGCGCGCCUCGAUGCUGAUUGCUGCUGGCUUAUUUUAGCUGCUAGCUGCGUCCUUCUCCUGGAGUACUGCCUCUCACAACGGUUCCAUCCUACUCUAUAUAUACACACACAAAACGAAUCUCUAAUCGUCCUGUCUAAUGUUAUUAAACUACUACUCCAGUACAACCAAUGCACAGGGAGGGAAGGUGCAAGGCACCUCACACACGUACCCUAGCUACUGUCUCGAUCCACAUGUAAUAAUAUAUCAUCAAGGAGAUGUUAUAUAUUUUCCUUCUCUUUUCUCUUUUAUGGCCGGUAAGAAAACAGAGUGUGUAUGUAUAUUUUGGUCCUCAGUAAUUAAUUACUAUUGCCCAACUGCCACUUAAUUUGGUCCUCUAAGUAACAAAUAUCGCCAUUAUUUUUAUUUUGCAUUCCAACUUAUAAGUCGACGGAUUUCUUUUUUUGAAACUAUCGCCCAGGGAAUUUUAUUCCAUCGACGAUAAAACUUCUGACUGAACAAGCUCAGUCAGAAAACCAAGGGUAUUAGAGAAGUAAACAUAAGAGUUAUCAUAGGACAGGGCAGCCCAAGCACAAGCAUGUGCCACCCCAUUAGCUGUUCUCCUGACAAAACACAACUUAAACCCCUGGAACGAGGAGACCCACGAUUUCAUCUCCCGAAUAAUCUGGCCACACACAGACAUGCUCUCUCCACUGCUAUCCCAAUGCAAAUUGUGUCUGGCUUGAUGCACCCAUACAGGGGAAACUGAGGACGUGUGACUACAUCCGUAAGAUUAACAUCGAUCUAAGCACAAACCAUGCUCCCAUAGAGUACAUUUUUCACUGAGAUUCGGCAAGUGUGUGCGAUUCGUAUUCACUAGAAAGACUUCUCACUGGGUCAAGUAAACUAAAACAUGUAUUAGUUCAACAGAUCGAGCGACCAUGUGUCAGCGCCAUUCAGAUCCACAGCACAUUUAGCCACUGAACUGCGGGCGGAACAUAAGGUAUAGGUCUAAGUUUCCUAAAAUUUAAACUACGCAUUCAGAAGGCCGCGAACCAGCCUGCAGGCAGCUAUAGCUGCAUGGAUCACAGAUCAAGUCGUCACUCUCUGCUUGACGAAAAUGGAGGCCCUCGUACGGUCGAUGGAUCUUUUUUUUUAUGAAAAUGCAGCAGCGCUACUUUUCAUUACUUAAGGGAAAAAACACAAGUUAUUUACAAAACUGAAACCUCAGGAGAGGAGAGGAAAGAACAACAACGAAAAAAGAACUAAGAACACUCGGGGGCCUGACCCGAUGAAACCAGAAUUGUUCAAUCAUCUAAAAGGAGGCGACCGAGGUGCGCUUUCCAGGAUAGCAGCUCAUCGAAGGCGACAUCGCAUAGGUUGGCCAUAGAGGAUUGCUUGGAGUGGAAAACUUUUUGAUUGCGCUCAAGCCAGAGGUGCCACCAUCCUAGCAUGACGACCACAGCAAGCCGAGAGUGAGCUAUCUAUCUUGGAUGGGCAGCGCCUGUCUUCAUCGGACCACCAGGAGACAAGGCUGUUAGUGGAAGAGUGCGGCAAGGUAUUGACCUGGACAUUUGUUAUGGUUAGAAGCAGCGACCAGAGCUGAGCAGCGAGCGAAGAGGUUAUCCGCCGUCUUCGGAGAGGUACGGCAAGGUAUUGACCUGGACAUUUCUUAUGGUUAGAAGCAGCGGCCAGAGCUGAGCAGCGAGCGAAGAGGUGAUCCGCCGUCUUCGGAGAGGUACGACAAAGCUGGCAGAUAGGGUUAUGCAUGAUUCCUUUUAUGGCCAGCCGGUCAGCAGUGAGGCAUCUGCGAAGAGCAAGGGUCCAGGCGAAGAAUUUAACUUUGGUCGGGAUUUGAAUUUUCCAAAUAAGCGAGGCAGCAAGAGACAGAGUUCUGCUAAGAAAUUGAACAUUGUAGGCAGAGGAGACCGAGUAGUUCCCAGAUGCUUCAAGCGACCGGCUUUGGAAAUGAAUUGUCCUUGCCAACCGGCCAGCUUUUUAGCAAUCUUAUCAAGGAUAGCUUGGAAAUCCCCAUGUUUGAGCAUGGAAGUGGACAACGGCAUACCAAUAGAAGUGCAAGGGAAGGAGCCCUUGUCGCAACUGAAAGAAGAGACGGCCUGUUUCAACUCAGGAUCAUCACAUUUUAUACCAAAAAUCCUGCUCUUAGCGAAAUUGACGACCAGCCCGGUAGAUUGACCAAAGAGCUUGAUGAUUUUAGCAGUAGCAAUUUGGUCAUUGGUUGAGGAAAAUCAUCGCGUCGUCAGCAUACAGAGACACCCGAGGGAGCCGGCCGUGGCAGCCAAUUGGGAGCAAAAUAGCAUUAUCUUCAGCCAACGCAAGCAACUGAGCCAGGCAAUCCAUGACAAGAACAAAUAGAAGCGGUGACAGAGGGUCUUCUUGACGCAAGCCACGUCUGUGCAUAAUUUUCUCAGACAAGGAUUGGUUAACCAGGAUGUGGGAGGAGGAAUUUCUCAGGAGCAUGGCAGUCCAUUGGAUCCAUCUUCUUGGAAAACCGAGGUGAGCCAGCAAUUUGAUAAGAAAAGGCUAGGAGACCGAGUCAAACGCUUUGAAAUGUCAAGUUUGAGCACCAGGGUAGCAUGAUUGUCGCUGCGCAGCUCUCGGAUAGUAGAUUGGAUGAACAUGAAAUUUUCAUGAAUACAUCUGUCCUUGAUGAAAGCACUCUAGCAGGAGGAGACAAGCUGCUGCAUGUGGAGUUGUAACCUCAGUGUCACGGAUUUAGUGUCCAGCUUAGCAAAACUGUGAAUCAGACUAAUUGAUUCAACUAGUUGAAUUAACUCAACUAGUGACGGGUUUGUGAAUGAACUAACACGGUUAAGUAGUACUCAUGGUUAAUUCUGCAACUACUGACAGAGUUCUUACAACUGUUUAAUUUGGAAGUUGUGGUGCCGACUGUCACUCAUUUGUUGAUAUUAAUUAGUAGUACCAAUUGGCUGUUCUUAUAGAGUUAUUUGUAUGUUAAUUUUGCAUGCAUCACUUUAAUCUGGGUCAAUUAUGUCACCUGAGCUACUUAAUUUAAACAAGCAUGGGGAUUUUAUGAUGACAUGGAUCGUCCUUGAUGGCAUAUGUAUCGCAUGGCAAAAGUACCCGUGCAUCUCAACCGAGGGUUUUGAAAAUUGGAACCUUUGCCACAUCUCAAGAUUGAACCAAAAGGCUGCUUUUCAUAUUGCCAACAAAUUUUUACUUUGGCGCAACUAUCCACAGUUAAGAUUGACCAAGCAAUGGUUAAGUUAUGAUGGAGCGAUGACUCAUCGGACGGCAAAUGACAGAUCGAGAUCCACAUUGUUAAACAAAGACUAGACUAACCAGACCAGUGAGGCAGUGAGAAUACUAAGGGCAUCUCCAACGAGGGGUACCUAACAGGUACUAAUAUUCUCUUUCUUACUUUUGAGGCUGAGGUGGAACAAAAAGUGAAGAUAUGGUAUGUUGCAGUAGUAACAGUUUUGGCACAAGAACCAAGAAUGUGAAAAGAUAGUUUAAUAGAGAAAAGAGUAUGCCAUGUGAACCCAGACUGAAAAAGUAACAUUAACAUUGAAGAGAGAGAAAAAUAAAUAAAAAAAGGAGGCUAAGUACUGGGUUUUCUCUGCUCUUGUUGAGGAUGCCCUAAGUUCCAGCACAUGGACAUGGAGUGAUGAUGACUCCUCGGACGGCAGAUCGAGAUCUACAUUGUUAAACAAAAAAUAGACUAACCAGACCAGUCAGAAACGUUAAGCAAACAUGCUUGUUGCUCAAUCCUCGGGUCGGUCGAACGUCCAGGGGAUCAGCAUCGAAACCAUAACUGAACCAGAAACAGGUUGCCGAUCGACACCAAUACAAUACUCACGAGUUAUUUCAAAUUUCAAAACACUAUAUUGUACUCUCUUCGAUUUUAAAUUCUUGUCGUGAUUUUAGUUCAAAUUUACACUAAAAUCUUCUUGUCAUGGUUCAAACUUAGGAUCGGAGGAGCACGUGAGAUUCGACUGCACUCAUAUAGGACAUGUUAUUAACUUGACUUGACCAGAAAGCAAGAUAUAUCUAUUGGCUGCCCAAAUUGCCGGUGCUCUAACAUAGGCAAAGAAAUUAAUAUGCAUGUUAGAUUUAAUCAGCCCUCACUCGAGCAGCUGAGAUUCCUCGGAUCGGAAUCUGCUUAACAACCUAGCGAUGCUAACAUGCUUCAAGUUGACUUUGAAAAAUUUGUAUAAUCAUACCGACUGACGUGAACAAAUUUUGAGAAACAAGACUUCAUGACAAGACUUUACAAAACUGAGUUUAGCUGAUUCAGCCAUCACGUACGCUGGCCAAAAAUGGAGCAGCUGGUUUCACGGAUCGGGAUCUGCACCGACACUAGCUAGACAUGUAUAACUGAACGUGCGUUGCAUUAAGACGUCACAAUGCGUACGUCAACUGAUGACAUACUAGCUUGGAGAUGUGUUAAAUUAAGACGAGGCACUACAACAAUUAAUGAACUACUCCCUUCGUCCUGAAACAACUGACGUUAUUUUGUAUAAACUCUUAUACAAAUCCAUGUCACUUAACGGCGAGGCGUCUGCGGUGACUUCGUCAAUCUCUCAAGAUCUGCCGGCCAGUCUUUCGGAGGUGCUCAUAGGAGUAGGGUGUGUGUGUGCGCGCGUUCAUAGAUGUGAGUAUAUGCACGUGUUGUGAGUAUCUGCGUUUGUACUGCGUUUCUAAAAAGAAAAGGAGCAUAUCAUUUUCUUGAAAUUCCAUGAUUAUAUUUAAAAUUAUACUUUUCGAAUAUAUAGUGGUUUCCUUGAAUGUUGUUAUUAACUUGCCUUGACCAGAAAACUCCAUGAAAUUGCAGGGGCGCUUAAUGGUUUCUGUAAGUACUCGUACAAAGUUAGCUGGAUCGCCCGAUCGGGGGAAUACUGUGGCUCACACCCUUGCUCAGUAUGCUAGAGAAAAGGCGUCUUCAAGUCUCUUAACUGGUUCAGUCCCGGGCGUGUGUUCAUAUUUGUACUUAGCCGCACUUUCCAGUUAAAUGAAUGCCUUUUCCCUUUAAAAAAAGAAAGCAAGAUGUCUUGGCUGCCCAAAUUGCCGGUGCUCUAGCAUGGUGAAAAAGGCCUCCCGUGUCGCCCACGGGCGCGAGGUGACAACGUAGAAAAAUCACCAUUUUGAUUGUUUUCGUGGGUUUUUUGAGAUUUUGGCCGAUUUUUUGAUAUCGUAGCCACCGAUAUAACACUGUUCCGGGCCAUUUUGGGCCGAAAAUCACCCUUUUAGUCGUAUUUGUGGGUUCUAAAUCACGUUUUUUUGGAUUUUUGGCUGACCCCUUGGUAGGCUGAUAUGCUUUCCUUUUUUUGGGAGCAACACAAAAAAUCAUCGGUUUGGCAAUUUUUCGUGGGCUAUAGCUCAUGGUUUUUGUGUGGCCGUUUUUGGCUCGGUGCCGAAAAUCACUGUUUUGGCUUUUUUGUGAGCUUUUGGCCGAUAUUCGACACCGGGGAUGUUGAAAAUCACCAUUGAAAAAUGUGCCGAAAAUCACAUUAGACCACUUUGGUCUAAUGUUGAAAAAUCGUCGUUGUCGUAGCCCGGGGCUUAGACACCGGGGAUGCGAGGCACCCCCUUUUUGGUUCGGCAGUGGGCGUUGGGCAUCGCUCCGGCGAUUGCCGGCGAGGCCAAUGACGAGCGUACAAUGCACAAGCCUGUUUACCCAGGUUCGGGCCACCCUGAGUUGUAAAACCCUACGUCCUGCUUCUGAGUUUGUAUUAGCCAAUGAACAAGUGUUUACAGGUUGCCGGGGGAGUCCCCGGGUGCUCUCUUCCUUUUUUGCUAAGUGGCUACUUGCUACUUUCGUCUAAAGCCCCAAACUCUAACUCCACUAGAGUGCAAUCUAGAAAAGAACCGAACCUCCCGACCGAUGGCGCUGGUUCUCCUUUUAUACUCAAGGGGAUACCACAGGUGCCUCGGUGGAUGGGGGACAAGUGUCGAGCAAAGACCCUAGACAACUUGCCCUUGCUGCGCUAGCAUGCAUGCAUGGUGCUAAGUGUUGUAGCUAGGGCGAUACGUGCCUUAGAUUCACUGCGAGCCACUCACUGUGGGCUGACUAGACAGGGAACCAUCCUUCUGUUGGAGCAUUUAAUGCUUGCUUGUGCCAUACUCCACGCUCUGACCAGCCCUGCACAAAAGGAGCCUGCCGGGCGGCCACGUGGUGCCAAUACUCUGCUUGCACUGAGCGCCGGUCCUGUUGUAACCGCCUACGCCAGAUAACACCCUCCCUGGCAAGUGAACUUCCUGGGGGGCGCCCUGACGGGAACUUUCACGCUGCCAUCCGAGGCAACCCCCGCAGCCCGGCUAGUCCUGUCGGGCUGGUGGCUUCCCAGGCAGCUCGCACCACGCUGCCCGGGGUGCCGUCCUUGCGGGGAGCAAGCGAGGCAACCCACGCGUUGCGCAUUGGUGGUACCCCGGGUGCCACUGGUGCGACAAUCGUUUUACCCGUUUUCGUGGAUAUAGCACAUAAUUUGGGUUUCCACCGAUUUUUCGAUAUCGUGACCCCACGAGGCAGUGUUUCGGGCCGUUUUUGGCUGAAAGUCGUUGUUUGAGCCGUUGUCAUGUGCUAUAGCUCAGCUUUUGGGUUUCUUCCAAUUCUCCGAUAUUGUUACCCACCUAUGCGGAAAAAUUAUCGUUUUGUUCAUUUCCGUGUGUAGUCACGAAAGUACUAAAAAUGACAAGCAGUAAAAGCAUACAAAGACUUGCUCGAAACAACAAAAUUACCAUGCACGAUCGGCCACCAAACUCAACUUGAGCGCGCAAUAUGUCGCAACCAUAGUGUUCGUUUGUCGCGGUUAAAACUCCAUCAGAGGUACCAACGGUGGAUAUCAUCUUUUCUUAUUUUCAUAGCAGCGUUUCAUUUUGUUUUAUUCAUACAAUGAUCCGAAGACCGGACUCCACGGUUGCAAGAUAACCAAGUUUUUUUUUGGGGUGGUGGACAAGAUAACAGAGUUAUAAAAGAAGGUCCCGUUAUCUUGUUCACAUUGAUGUGUUCCAAUUGCGUUGCCAAGUACUCCCUUCAUUCUUUAAUUUUUGUCGAAAUAUUACAUGUAUCUAGACACUUUUUAGAAAUAGAUACAUCCAUUUUUAAAAAAAAUUUAGACAAAAAUUAUGAAACGGAGGUAGUAGUGUAUUUCGUAAUGGAAAAGGGCAAGAAGCCAGGUGUUUGAAAAAUCUUGUUCACCUUGAAAAUAGACGAGAAGUCAACAAUGAUGGUGCGCCUUGCGCUCGUGCUAAUCCUUUAACUGUCGCUAGGCCCCUUGCUGAUGAGGGCCGGUCCUGAAAUUUCAGAGACGCCAGAGCGAACUUCAUGAAUGGGCCUAGCGACUGUAGUGAAGGGGAAAAAAAGGAUUUCUUACAUCAACAGAACAGAGGGUAAAAAGUUAAGAGUGUAUAAUACAUGACUAGUCCAUAAACUGGGAGGAAAUAAACAUCAUAAUCCAUGAAUUUAUAAAACGUAGACAUGAUUUUAAAAUCAUAUUCCCUCCUUUUCACAACCACGCUUUUCGAGGUCAAAAUUUGACCUACAAUAUGUAGAUUAUAUGUUGCAAAAUUUAUAUCGUUGGAAAUAUUUUUGAAAUACGAAUCCAAUGAUAUAAUUUUUUAGCACAUAACUCUCAAAUCAUUAGUCUAAUAAUUGUCGGUCAAAAUAAAAUUUUAAAAUGCGGACCAUUCUUUGUGAAAAGGAAGGAAUACUAGUGAUACAAUUCAGUCAAAAAUAGGUUGUAGGAGUAAAAAAAAAGUAGGCACGGGGCUGCCACGUCGAAACGAAGACGGUGAGAGGAUGGACAUACGAGCGCAGGCUCACGAGCUGGACCAGGCCAUGGCAAGCCGGACCGAGCCAGCAUGUUUUCUGGCCGAGCCGAGCUUCAAAGAGAGACUUGUUCGGCCUUCGGCCGAGCGGCUCGGUCUAGUCCGCGAGCUGGCGGCCCGAAGAAAUUCAACAGCCCAUCGUCACCGAUUCACGGCCCAGAGACGCCUCCCCACCGUUCAGUCCGCAAUUCCCCCACCCGGAGCUGCCGGCUGUCUGACUGCCGCCCCGUUCGGCCGCGGCACACGGUGCAGGUGCAGCGCGGGGUCACCAAGGCAGGGACAAGGAGAAGCAGGAUAAUGUGCAUUGCUGGUCCCGCUGCUUGCUGUUGGUGUUGCUUAGCUGUCACUAUUGACUAUUUGCUGUUCCUGUCGCCGGAGCGCUGGAGCAGCAGGCAGCCGCUGGGAGAAGAAGAUCCGCCGCUGCUUGCUCGCUCUUUGCCUGCCGUUGAGCUGCUGCUUGCUCUGUUGGCUGUUGAUCUUAAAUAAAAACACAUUAGGACUUGUUUGGUGUUACUGGAUUUUUUAGCCACUGGUGAACUCAAAACACUAGUGUUUUGGUAUAUGAGAUGUGUUUUAAUUUGGUUAAAAAAUGAAAUGUUUUGUGGAAGAAAACUAUGAAUAAUCUUCUCUAGACUCUUCGUACCAAACAACCAUUUAUAGUUUAUAGUGUUUUUCAAUUCGGAGUAGAUAAUAUCAUAAAAAACACCUAAAAACUCUAGUAUCAAACAAGACCGGCUGUUACUGCUGCUUGUGCAGCGUGGUAAACCAUGACGCCGACGACCUAGUCUAAAGGCCACCAAACGUCCGGAGUGUACUACCCCCUCCGUAUUAUGCAUCGCGUGAGCGUGAUCGGGCUGCAGCUGCAUCGUGCGUUCGCGGACGGACGCCGGGCACCGGCCCCUCGCCAGAGAACGACUGAACGAAGUUAACAGGACCAACAAGAGUGAGCAUUUUACCAGCCAUCUUAAUCUUCAAUUCUUUGUACUGUAUUUCCUUAAAUACACGACAAGUAUUUAGGACCGGAGGGAAUACUAAUUUUCAAUUUGUUAAUUAAUCUAGUCUCGUUAAAUUUCAGAACUACGAAGCCAUCGUCUAGAAUGUAUCCAUCCGGCGGUGAGAAAAGGAAAAGAAAGAAACGAGACGAUACAUGGUAACAAUCGGCAGCAUCACAGCUGCAAAUGGCCGGCGGCGGCACUGGAUUUCUGGCACGUACACGCGCAGAGGGCUGAGCUAGUUACCUUGGAGGGCGUGGGGGAUGGCCCCGCCCUGUAUCUUAGUGGGCUCCUUCCACCCCAUGGCGUCGCACGCGUCCACCAGCUCCCGGCAGAUGCCCAGCUCCGCGAACGUCGACGCCUCGGCGACCGGCUCCGGCUCCAGCUCAGGCUCCCGCUCCGCGGCCAUGGCUGCUACCGAGGAGGAGUAGAGAAGCUCUUCCGUGCGAGAGUGGGCGCGCGCGUGCGUCGGCGAAGGGGGCGGCGUGUGUUGGUGCUUGGCGCGGCGGUGGGUUUGUUAUGACGGGAGGUAGAAGGAAGAACCUGCAUUAAACCCUAGCUGACGCGACGAGACGGAGGAAGGGGAAAGCUUUCACUGGGCUGGGCUGGGCUGGCAUGCUCGACCCAACAGCAUACUCAGCCCAUGUAAAUAUACGACCAUGGGCUUCUAAGCCCUAUGGAGGUGAGCCCACCACCCCUUUGAUUGCCUCGUGCUGAUCCUUUGAUUGUGGCCCACUGGCCAGGCCCGUUGCUGAUGAUGUUUCCAGACCGUUUGGCUGUUAGGAUGGAGACGGCUGUCUGGAGUGUGGACCUGUUACGCAUGUCUGCUGCUUGUCCAGCGUCAGGUAAACGGUAAACCAUGACGCCGACGACCUGAAGUCUAAAGGCCACCAAACGACCUGAGGUACCAGUAGUAGCUAACAACCCGGCGUGAAGACUAUUACUCGGAUACUAAGAUGAACAGACAAAGAAUUGAAAUUCAUCUUGAAAAAAGAAAGAAAGAGGGAACGUGGUCUUGCAUUUUUCCACUGAUCCUUAAGCUUGUACUCCCUCCAUUCCUAAAUACUUCUCGUGAUUUUAAUUUUGCAAUAAAACCACGACAAAUAUUUAGAAACGGUUUGCACUAAAACCAUGACAAGUAUUUAGGAACGGAUGGAUUACUGUAUACAGAGACUAAGGAAACAUCCUAAAGCUUGGUUCCACUGAUCCACCGAGGCUGGGGGCUUUAGUUUUUGCACAUCAGUAGUGUUCUGAAUUGCCUUGUUGACUCCGACCAUUGAUUAUUUGUCCCUUAAGUCUUGAAGUAUAACUAAUCAUGUCUGGACCGGCCAAUAGACGAGAUGACACUCUGACAGUAACAAGACAGGCUCGCUUUCCUCUCAGACAUGACCCAAAAAACAUAGGCCCGCGGCAGGUCAGGUUUCCUCUUCAGGCUGUCCAUCUUCAAUUAGUUAGCCGUAGUACGUACGUGCAGAUGUGCAUGGCCUGUGUUGACAUAGCUCAAUCUGCAAUUCUGAAUAAUCAUACUUAUUGUUAUCAUUAUCUGGAAAAAAAAGGGCUGCAAAGUGACUGGAAAAAAUAAUCUAAUUAGUGUACUAACGGUCCAGAUCCUCCUCUUAUCUUUCGGUCACCGUGGCUUUACUUACAAGGCAAUUAGGCAAACGCACUCCGAAUUGUGCCAAGCUAUAGCCUGUAGCUUUGCUCUCUUUGUAAGCCAUGCUUUUCUUCUCCCUUCAGCCUUCAGGAGUUCUAGAUAUUAUCUAUUCAUUUAUUUUAGAUAAUUAUGAAAAAAGUUAUUUGUAUACAGAGAGAAGUACUAUCGGGAAAAAAAGAUUCCCCCCUCUAGAAAAUCGGAAUUCCAUGGAAGUUUGGUUUGCUUGUAUGGAACAAAAUCUGAACUUCAGUAUUGCUUCUGCAAAAGGUCACCAUCGGUUUAGCAGUGUAUGAUUCAGGCUCUCUUUUCUAUCGCCCUUGGAAAAGAUAGAAAUUUCUGUUUCAAACUAUAAACAACCUGUGAUGCAGAAGAAUGUCUCUCUUCUUUAGGGUCUUCACUGUGUUGUGCAUUUCAACCCAAAGUUUACAAUUCCCUUUGUAAAGGAAAGAUAAUGGCUGGAAAUUUUUUUGUCAACUCUUUCAGCCGGCAAUAUCUCAGCCAGACAGAAAACUGUCGUUGUCCGUGCUUGUAGCCCAUUCAAUUCAGUUCGUGCUUGUCUGAAGAAAAGAACACACUUUCCACGUUCAUGUUUCAGAUGUUUCUCUUGAUGGCAUCAGGAGGCCCUCCAAGUCUCUAAUUGAUCCAGCAAUAGAAGAUAGAACUCCACAUUGGGAUGUCUUAACCAAAUUAGUCAAAGUAUUUACAAUUUUCUCUUGGACAAAUUAAUGAACAAAAAAGAGAAGAUGACGGCUUUCGAUUCGACUUCUCCACCAAGCGAUGUAGUCGUAAUUCGCUUGAUUCAUAGCAUGGAGUGUGUUUUUUUUAUUUUCUUUUGCACAUGCAUAAAUGAGGCGAAAGGAGACUGCUGCUCAUUUGCCACCUCUGCAACUCCAAGCUCCAGCUGCCAAAUUGUUCUAAACAGCAACUCAUCAAUCCUUCCUUCUAAACAGUGUGGCAUUUAUCAGCAACAGCUAGGAUCCAUCGGCAGAUACAUCCCCGGGGACCCAAAAAACACACAAAUCAUGGGCGAGUUGGGCGCUCGAUUGGGUCCAUGGAUGCAUGAUCCUGGACCAUGCCCAUGCCAAUGGGUUUGCAUUUUGCAAGGUACUAGCAGUACUGUGCUAUUUGCAAUUGAUGUGCUUGCAUUGAUCAGUUGUUCAUCCAUGCUUCCUAGUUCCUGAAGAGCUUCUUCAACAGCAUUAACAUUAGGGACAUUACAUGUUUCUCAAGCUGCAGAUAUAGCAAACCUGAGAUUGCAAUUCUGUGGGAACUCUGGUUUGCAAAUAAAGCCUUCAGUACUGAAAUGAUAUCCCAGCUAGUCAAACCAUCCUGGUUUUUCAGGAUCGAAUUGCUUUGCAAUAGAAUAUGGUUCACAUAAAUAGAGAAAGAGAUAAAGUGAAUAUGUAGAGGAAAAAAUGACAGGCUCUCGUUGAGGCUGAGCACAAAAACAGAGACCACUUGUAGCAAUGUUCAAGAACCUUCCUUUCGGUUGUGCAAACCGAAAACUUCAAAGCCGUUCCCACCGGUAAUAACGGCCCCAACACCAGGGACCCACUAGCCAGCAGACAGCCAGUCUAUUCACAAGCUAGAAGGAGCAAGAAAAUAAGAGAGGUUAUUUUUAGCUAUUGCCGCCAUUCCAUGUACCAUGUUCCUCCUUCCAACUGAAAACAGUCACCAUCAGUCAGUCUCUCAGUCACAGUUAUUACUGGUUUUCGUUGGAGAAAACAGUUACUAAAUCAGCUGUGCCAUUUCCCUUCACAAGAAAUAGUCUGCCCAAAUUAGUUAAAAGUCAUUUUUGGAGCACUCAGCAUCAAGAAGAACUGAACCAAAAGCAACCAGAUAAAAACUUCCACAUAGAAGAACUAGAAGAAAAUAUAUACGCCAGCCAGCCGGCCCACGACUAAACCCCACUAUCCUUCCCGGCGAAUUCUCCAUUGCUUCGCUUCCGCAAGACUCUUUCUCCCCCUUUCCCCCCUUCCUCGCCUCAAGGUAGGUAGCCGCCAUAGCCGAGAACCUAACGCAACUGCACGCCGUUGAUCGGCGGCGUCCGGCCGGGUCGAUGGAGCCAUCGUCGGACGACUGCGGGGUUGCCGCCUUGGCGGCCGGCGGCGGCAACAAGAAGCAGCAGCCCCAGUUGGGGCGGUCGCUGACGUACCACCACGGGGGGCACCGGCGGGGGCGGGGGCGGGCGCAGCUGGCGGACGAGCCGAGGGCGAGGGCGGACGCGGUGGUGCUCUACACGACCUCCCUCCGCGGGGUGCGCCGCACCUUCGCGGACUGCUGCUCGUCGCGAGCCAUCCUGCGCGGGCUCCGCGUGGCCGUCGACGAGCGGGACGUCUCCAUGGACGCCUCGCUCCGGGGGGAGCUCCAGGCCCUGCUGGCGGCGCGUGGGCGCGGGUUCUCGCUCCCGCAGUUGCUCGUCGGCGGGAAGCUCGUGGGCGGCGCCGACGAGGUCCGCAGGCUGCACGAGUCCGGCCAGCUCAGGCGCCUCCUCCGCGGCGCUGCUGGCCAGGACCCGGCCUUCGUCUGCGCUGCCUGCGGCGGCGCCCGCUUCGCGCCUUGCCCGGCAUGCGACGGCGCCCGCAAGGUGUUCGACGAGGAACAAGGCCGCGCACGACGCUGCGGCGACUGCAACGAGAACGGGCUCGUCCGCUGCGCCUACUGCUCUUCUUCUUGACUUUGAAAUCGAUCGAUCACCGCAAACACGAUCGUCCGAAUUCCAGUUCUAUUAUUCGCUGCUAAUUAAUUUGAAGGAGGAUAUAUAUUUAGAGGUGGUAGAUGAUUCGUCAUCAGAGAGGUGCGUUUCAUAUUGUUUCUUGGCGUUGGAUUUGUGUGUUAUAUAAAUCUGAACCCGAUCAUUUGGGGAUUGGUUCAGAUUGGGUGCUGUGCUCAUGGUCAUGGAGGAAGAACGAAUUGCUGUUCUUGCUGCAGAAAAAUUGCCAUUGUGGUGAUGGCGAUUUGGGAAAUAAUACGGUGCUUGUAUAUGUGUGUGUGGGUAAUGUAAAGGGAAGAUUUGUCACUGACAUUAGCUUGAUUAAUUAAUGUAAAUACUUGAGCUUGGUUGAUCAUAUUCUUGCCUGGUUCUUACUUCUCCUCUUGUCUUUGCUUGCUCUGAUUAAUAUCUUCUUUCUUUUUUGAGGGAGAUUAAAUUUCUUCUUGAAUAGAUCAAACUGUUUGAUCUGGAAAUUAUCCAACUUCAACUAUUUGAUAGCACCUUAACUGCAAUCAUGUUGUCCCUUAGCUGUACCUACUAAACUAGAGCCACCUCUUCUUUCAAUUUUUUUUUUCAUUUUUUCCUUUUUAUUUUUUUUAUGGAGUGUCUCUAAACAAGUAAUGUACUCCCUCAGGUUCAAAUUAAUAGCUGCAGGUUUGUCUAGAUACGCAUGUUGCGACAGUUAAUUUGGAUUUGAGGUGGGUUUACCACGACUCCUGUAUUCUGGGGAGACCCUGUGGUUCCACCGUAGUCCGUGUUUUUUAAGACGCAAAGGUUGUUCGGUGAAUCUGUGAUCAUUGCAUCCUGGAGAACUUUCAAUUAUUUCCCCUAUUUCUUUGCAUGACACAGAAUGGCUUUUGAAUCUUUUGAUCGAUGCAAGUACAAGUUCAUCAUAUCUUGUAGGAUCUAGAAAAGGCUGAAGAGCUGUAGACUUAUAAUAUAUCCAUGUAAUGCGGAUAAGUUCAGUCAGAUUUUUCAAGAGUUACAAAUGAUUCAACUGGAAUAUUUCAAAAGUUACAAUCUGGGUUCAACGCAUGUCAGGCAAUAAGUACGCUGUUUCCUCUCUUUUUGCCCCUUUGCAUUUCUUAAUUAUGUUUGCUAUUGUUUGGAACUUUGGAUUAACUAGAAAAUCAGAGUCUUUUGUCUUGAUUUUCCAAUUUGGAAUGCAAAAUAUCGCCAAAGUACUCCUAAAAGAAACGAUCUAAAAACAUCAAAUAUGUUAUAAUAUAGCAUGAGCAUCCUGCAAAAAUUAGACUCGUAAAGGAGACAAAUUUUCAGCAGGAGCAGCCACAGAUUUGGCAGCUGUACAGACACCAUUCAACAUGAGAAGCGGCAACCUGAAGAAUGAACAAUUCAACAUGAGAAAUUCAGAACAUUGGCGGUGUCUGUUAUGGAUAACCAGUCUGACACAUACAGAGGGGAGCUACAUGAUUUACAUUCCAGGAGGUACCAGCAAGAUCUCCCUAAAACGGGCAGCCCAAUGGCCAGCCAGCUCAUGUUCAAAGCAAAAGAAGAGAUUUUGCCUUCAGCUCUACCACAUCAGUACCGCCUCAAUCGGUUUACAUGACAACCAUCCAUCAAAUUAUUUUUUGAGCUGCUAGAAGUUUGGCGGCUAAGACAGUCUACACCAUUACCUAGUCUCCUAAGUUCUCGCAGCGAUUCACCUACGCAUUACCUUCGGUUCAUCUGGGAUACAUGAUCCAAAGGAUCCAGAAGGAAUGAAAGCACAGUUUAUUGCUCCUUCCAGAUUCUCCCUGUGACCCGGAGUUUGAGCUCCUUCCUGUCGCCACCAGAGAAGCACAGGGCCAUGUUCCGCUGGAUGAUGAGCCCGUCGUAGCUGUCUCGGACUUUCCUGUGACUGUCUCUGAUGCUUCGAGGGAUACCUUGCCAGGUCAUCUUGCGGUUGAUGCCUCCAACCUCCAGGCUGUAGCUGUAGUUCUUGGCUUCGGCGUCGUCUCCCAUGAAUCUGAGGAAGGCGAUGUAGACAGGCGCCAUGCCCAACUGGAAUGCCUCAAAGUGCAGGCAGAAGUACUGGCCAAAGCAGCUGAAUACCUAGACAAAUAUUCAGGAGUUAGUUCUACAGCUCUCACUUCCAUGGAGAAUUAAACACAGACGACAGAAGCUGAAAACAGUAACAUAAUCGGUGAUGACAUGGAUGAUAGCAAGCAUGCGUUGUCAUGAGUACCUUAAUUGCAUUCUUAAGUAGUACGUACUAGCAUUAAGUGAAGAAUCAGCAACCCAUAAGACCAUAACUCAUGUUAUAAAAAACUAUCCUAGAACAACUUUGCCAUGUCUAGAUCUUGGACGUAGGGUGGUGAGGAGUAAUAUACUAGUAUCCAGGUCAAACAAAUUUUACAUGUCCAAUACAAUUGACAUGAACUUUGCAUAGUUUUUCAGAUUAUGAAAAUACAGAGAUAGGUGAUAAUUACCGUAAGCAUCCAUGUAGCAUUCUCAACCUCAUGAGGAUUUGAUUUGACAUAACGGUGAUUGAAGGUGCUUCCACUGUGCAUGUCAACCUUAUGAUCAUCCUUCAAGUGACUCACUAGAUAUGGAAUGUCACCAGCAACAGUGCAUUCAGAUCCAGCAUAUGGGCAAGUAUAGGGUCUGUAUUGGCACUGCGACUCAUGUUUCAGCUUGCAAUAAUAAGGAUAUAUUCCCAAGCAUCCAAAGUUCUGGAACUUGCAUGGAACCUCUAGAGAAGCAGCCACCUUCUCCAGAGCAAGGCAUCUUAUGUUACCCAGUUCAUUCCUGCAAGUUGGGCAGCGAUUAUGAACCCUUGGCUUGCAUCCAGAACAUAUGGUAUGGCCAUUGGAGCACUGCACACACAAAUGAGACAACAUAGUAAAGAACCUGUAUACAACUUCAUAUUCAACUUGCUUUUCUGAGCUUGAGAAUAUGCAGUGAAAUUCAAAACAAUCAUAACAGAUAUCAGGCCCUCCUAGGAGAACAUCUGACAAGGAACAAUCUGGAUAACAUCAAAAAUGAAAAAAAGAGCGUUCAAGUUCAAAAUGUUUGCAAGGAGCUAGUCACAGGUGGGCCUGAUGCAUGGGGAUGGUUACCAGAGAGGAAGAGAUAUAACCUGCUAGUGUGAAGGAAUUCAUAAAGAAGUUACCAACAUAAAGCCUAUCUUAGCUCUGCCUGCCUUAAAGGUAAAUCAGCAUUUUCAUAUUCUUUCAAGUGUGUGUUCUUGUCCAAUCACGUAUAUUGGCAUACACAUGGCACUUCAAAAAAUCCAGGAAAGGCCAGUAUAAUGCAACUGAGAUGCUUCAGCUAAAUGAGUUCAGUAGCCAAGGCAUACCUGAUGAAUUGGAGGAUACAUGGCAACCAAACACACAGGGCAUUCCAAUAGCUCACGAACAUUGCUAGAAACUAUCGCAUUCUGUUUUGGUGAAUGCUGGAUAGGAUCGCCAAUGAGUUCAGUGACAUCUAACAUCUCACACUUUGGAGGGUCAAUAACUUCAGCAUCAGUGUCAUCAAGAUAAGCACCUGAUGCCAUGGUCAAACCUAUUGGUACAGAAUUCUGCAUGGAGAAAAAAAAAGAAAUCAAGAGGGGAAUUAGGCUCGAGAGUAAAAUGAGAAAGAUAAUUUUUAUUCGUGAGAAUAUCACUUAAUCAGAUUAGAACGCUUUUCUAUGGAACACAGAAAAGUAAAUUUUGUCUGCCAAGUCCUAAGCCAACCAUAACAUAACCCAACAGCACUUAAAGGUUCUGUAGUGAAGAUCAUUAACGACAGAAAUCAUGAACGCACAUAGGUUGGACCUCAGACAAAUCUUGUACGAUUUGAUGCAGCAAGUCUUGUUAGAUUACAUCACUACACCCCAAGCAAGAAAACACAGAUGCCAUGGUGUUCAGCCACUAUGCUCGUAGUUUUUCAGCAAAACAUUGAAAUGUUUUUAGUCUCUCACUGUACUUUUUGUUCUGCCUUUCUAGUCAACUUUUUUUUCA
rnacentral:lncRNA from 1 species